rnacentral:lncRNA from 1 species
UUGCUUGACGUCUUCUUCAAAAUCACAUUCAUACUUUUGAUAAAUUUGCGAAGAAUCAUCAACAACUCUGUAUUGUGUGGGUGCUUGUAGCUUUAUCGAAGACAUCAAUCAUUAGUUUUUACAAUGUAAUUUCUUUAGAACAAUUUGGUCUUUUGUCUCGCAAUGGAUAUAUAGGUUAUGACACGAUAAACCUAACUCACAUCUCAGAACACUUGCUUCAAUUUGACCAUUUAGGAGGAACAACAAAGCAUCACUGAUUUGGAACGUAGAAAUGGUUGAAUUUUCUAGCUCAAAGAGUACUCUUUAUUUCAAUUGUUCGACAAAAUUAAGCUACAAUUAUUUCAGUGGUUGAAAGCGAAAUAAGUUACACACCAUAUGCUUGGGGGCUUGAUUCUUUAGUAAUAUAAUUUCAUUUUAACUCCAUAAAAAUAAAGAGAACAACCAGAUAUAAAACAAGAUAAGCUUAAACAACAAAAAAAUAAUGAUGCUUAAGUCCCAUAAACACCCAAGGACACCACUUAUUUAUGGUACAUGUAAAACCAAAUUCUUUAGUAGUAAGCUAACACCAUGAUAAAAAAAAAAACCUCACUAUUUUUCUCAACCCACAUGAGGAGAAAAAAAAAUUAUCAUACCCAACUCAACCCAUACCUUCUCUUAUCUCUAUAUAUUUAUUUUUUCAAUCUCCUUUCACUUCAAGAUGGCUAUCAAAUAUUGUCCAGCAAUUACUGUGUAUAUUUUAAUUCAUCAAUGAUUUGAAAUGAUAAAAAGAUACAACAAGUUCGCACCUAUGAUCCUAUAUUUAUAUCGAACAACUUAUAUAUAUUUUUUGGCAAGGAUUAUAUUGAAAAAGUUUGUAAUUAAUUAUGUAAUGUUGGCCUACUUGAGUUAUAAACUUUAUUAUUCCCCUUAAUUUUGGAUUGGAUUAGAUAGGGAUGAAGAUGAUGUAAAUGUUGUCGGGUAGGUUUUUAUUCUCAAAGUUUGUCAAUUUAUGUUAGUUUAUUAGAAAUAAGACAAAGGAUUAUUUAUUGAUCAUCUUUGUCUUGAAAAACAUGUGACGCCAACUUGUGGCCGUUUCCAUGCAUGUAUCUUAGUUCUAGACUUGUUUGUAUCUAUUCUAUUUUCUAUUAUAUUUUUAUGAACAUAUAGUCUUCUUGUCCUUUUGACCCACACUCUAGCCGAUGUAGUAACGGUGUGAUCCUCGUAUUUUAAUACUCUUCUUUUUAUUACUUAUAAUUUUAUAAAGAAUAAUAAUCGUACCCCAAGAAAAGUGGAAAAGACAAUCAAUCACUAUGGCUUUCCUUUGAUUUGUUUUUUAUAUUAUAUACAAAUGUUAAUUGUUAGUAUAUUGUUAGACCACUUACAAUGGUUUGUUUAAUGGCACAUUCAACACCAAUAUUGCUUCCAAUGGUGUGUUUAAUAUGUGUUGAAUGAGGGAAUAGAAGAGAGAGAAGGUGAAUGGAUUCAACACCAAUUAACCCUGCCACGCAUGCCACGCGGCGCCUCGAAAUUGGCUGAAAACUGGCGCGUGCAACACACGCGCCGACAGGGCGCGUGAGAGGUCAGACGGUCGGAGAGAGAAACGCAUUUUGGAAAGAUAAGGACACGUGGCGCGUUUUAAUUGGUUGUCCGGAUUCUUAUCAUUUUCAUAAUUUAACCUCAAUUAUUUCGUUGUAAAUUAAUUUUAAAAAAAAAAAAAUUAUACCAAAAUUCAUGAUUUUUUUUUCUCUAUAAAUAGAGACUUGGUUCAUUUGAUUUGGACACAGAAAAAAAAACCAAGUUUUUCACUAUCUUCUUCUUAUUAUUAUCUUUCUAUUAGCAAACUAAGUGAAAUUUUAAUCUUAUUUUUAGUGAAAUGGAUCCCAAUAAUAACCAUUUCAACAAACAAAAUUAUUCUAAUUACCUAUUUAACUACGAAAAUCCCAACAAUUAUCCAAAUUGCAUUUUAAGCUAUUUGUGUGUUGCGUGCUUAGUUUGUUGUAUUGCAUUUUAAGUUAAGAAAAUAUAAAUAAAUUAUUUAAAUAAAUUUUGUUUUUACAAAAAAAAAUAAAAAUUAAGUGUAUCUUUAUUUUAAUUUAAUUAUAAUCGAUAAUUUUAAUUUUAUGUAAUUAUAAAAACAAAAAUAUAAAUUAAAUAAAGAAUAAGAAAUAAAAAGUGGUGGGGUAGGGUGUUGAAUGAAAAAACCAUUGGAGAUGUAAAAAUUGAAUGAGUGUUGAAUUAAGAGAGAUAAAAUGAUGUGGAGUGUUGGGAAUUGAAAAAGUGGGUGUUGAAUGGUAUUAUUGUGUUGAACCAUUGUACAUGGUCUUAGAGGGAAGGGAAAAUGUUAAUGUUCAAGAAUUGUACUUUAAACCUUCUACUUAAACUCCUUCAAUGUCUCAACACUACUAGACUACACAUUUGAGGGUUGUUCCUUUGAUUUGUACUUGGUUGUUUCUUAGAUUCGAGGGUUGUUCCUUUGAUUUGUACAACACUUGACUGUCUUAUUUAUCAGCAUGGAUGCUUAUGACGUGGUGUUAGGUUGAAACAUUUAAAUGAUGAUGCUUAGUAAGACAUGAGUUAUGCAAGGUUGGUUGGGAUUUUGAACUGUUACUAGGAACUCUUGUUGGACCUUGACUCUGCAGUACUGAAAUUGGUUUUUUGAGAUCUAUCAUUGACUUUGUUUUGUACAUGAUCACAACUAAAUUGUACUCUUGGAUUCCGUCGUACCAUAUACCCUGAUUUUGUGGGAUUUCUUGAAAAUAGCUCUUCUCCCAACAAAAAACGCUCACUCCCAUAUAAACUGACUAAAACACAUCCCACGUGAGUUAACUCACGUUCGGUAAGCUGGAGUAUAACUUACAUGAGUUAAUUCACGCUGGGGUUAUAACCUACAUGACUUAACUCGCGUGGGAUGUAGCGAACGUGACUUAACUCAAGUUGGGUUUAACAUCUGCAUGACUUAAAUCACGUGCGGGGUAUUUUUGGAAGUUUGUAUGAGAGUAAGCAAUUUUUUGAAGUUGUGUUAUUUGGACAUAGUCAUCGACAAUUUAAUUAAUAUCUCGUAUAAAAUACAAGCAGGUUGAGUGUAUACGAAAUCCAAAGAAAAAUAAAAAAUAAAACGUAUCAAUAUAUGACAUUUGUCGUGGACAUUUAUACCGACAAAACAUUUCAUAUUUGUAAAAGUUUUUUUUGAAGUGUCGUGUUUAAACUUCUUGUGUAGAUUGUAGUUGUUCUUGUACGUCAGUUGCCCCCAAAUCGUUACCUUAAGGCUUGGAGACGAAGACUUGUGAUAGUUGAGGGGUACAAAAGUAUCCCAUAAAGAGCCAAGUUCGAGCAUUAUUUUUAGAUUGCAUAUUUUAAAAAGGCAUUUUAGCCCAACCACCACUACCGGCCACACCCACCAUCGACCUCUCCCUCAAAUCUCCUGGGAAAACACCCGUUGUCAUCAUGACCACCACCACCACUUCCACUCUUUUUUUUCCCUCUCUGCUCGCUCUCCCUUUGCCUCACCACUGUCGGCCAUGUCCCCCGCCCACCGUCCUCACCUCAGAUCUGUAAACACACACACACACACACAGAGAGAGAGAGAGAGAGGGAGGGGGGGGGGGGGGAUUUGAGGUGAACUUAAUAAAAUGCCCUUGAUGCCAUAUGGGGUGUAUAUUGAUGGUAUGGAAGAAAAUGGUGUCAACCAAUAAUUAUUUAUUAAAUAAUUCAAUAUAUGAAUUUGUUUUUACUCUUUCUUUAUUUUUUUUCUCUCUCUAAAGGACCUCAUAUCUUUUACAUUCAUUAAUUUAUCUUGUUAUUUCAGAAAAAGAAAUUAUCUCAAUUCACUUGGAAUAAUGCAACUUUUAUUUAUCAACAUUUUAUAGCUGAUCUCAAUUCAUAAGUCCCACAGAAAACCUGAAUAAUCCCAAGUAUCAUAUUCUUGCUGGGGAUUAUAAUCAUAUAUUGAUCCAUUUAUACUAUUAAAUUCUUGUCCUAAUUCCAUUUCCUUAUCACCAAAUCCAUUUUGCAAUUCUUCUAUCCAAUCUGAUAUUCUACUUUCAUGAUAAGGUGAGUUUCUCAUUCCCCAAUCUGAUAAGGGACAACUGUCUAUAGAGCUUUCCUUUGUCUCUCCUUCACUGUUGGAAACCACAUCAAUGCUUUUAUUUUUGAAAUCACGUGCUAGGUUUUCUACUUCAUACAUGAACUCACCUGAGAAUAAAAUAGUGUAAGUGAAUGUGAAUUACAUAAAAAAAAAACAUGUACAAUAUUUUCACAAGCAAUUAUGUAUAUAAUAUCUAUAGCACAAAUAGUUCACCUUGUUGAACUUGUACUCUCUUUUGUAAAUGAGUUCUCCAAUAGUUCUUGAUUUCAUUGUCUGUUCUUCCUGGAAGCCUACGGGCAAUCUUGGACCACCUAAUUUCAUUGUUAUUGUUACAAAUUUAACAAAUAGUUAAAGGUUAUAAUCUAUAACAAUUCUUAUACUAGGAGCACAUAGCAUUGUAAACACAAAGUAUGUAUUUCAAUAUUUCAUUAUUUUACACAUUUAAUUGAUAUGCACCAUCAGUGUUCUUUGAAAAUAAAUAUACAUACAUGGUCAAUGUAAUUUUUUUUACGCAUGCAUCGAAUCAUAUCUCAUUAUAUUCCUUUGUAAUAUUAGUUCUUAAAAGAUCUUGACAUUAUUUACGUGAUGAGAUAUGAUUAGAUGUAUGUAUAAUUUUCUCUUUUUUACAUUGACAAUGCAUACUAAUUAAAUUCAACUAUAUACUAUAUUAUAUAUUUUUCAACUUCAUAGGCUUAGACAUUUUAUGGUUACUAGUUACUACAAGCAGGGGAAGAAACUCACUUGUUACCCCAUUGCUGCUGAAGCUGAACAAUAAGUCUCUCCUCUUCAACAUUAAAAGGGCCAUGUUUGAGAUUUGGUCGAAGAUAGUUCAACCACCUUAACCUACAGCUUUUACCACUUCUCCUAAGUCCUGCACAAGAGCAAGCAAAUGUUACCAUAAUGAUCUCUUUUAAUUUUGUUUUGUAAUCGCAAUUGCACUCGCAACAUAAAUGAUUUUAAAUUCUCCACAAUUUCAUCAUUAUGACCAUAUAAUUGUAACUAAGAUUUUAAAUGAAGAUUUGUGACCGCGAUCUAGGUCAAGAUGCAACCGUUAUUAAUGUUGACGAAACCACAAUGCAACAACUAUUGAUGCCGUAUCGAUCACAUUGGACCAUGAUUGUUUGGAAUAUCAAAGAUUGCAACGCAACCAGAUAUGAUAUUGUGACCGUUAAAAUACUUACUAUAAUAGCGGCCGCAACCAAAGUUUAAAAUCUUGGCUAGUUUUUCUCUCUAUAAUAUCAUCAUAAUUAAACAAGAUUUAUGCAUACAUACCAGCUACUUUAGCAAGUGAAUCCCAUCUUCGUUCCCCAAGACGGGUCACAAAGCUUAUCAAUUGUUCAUCUUCCUCUUGAAGCCAAGUCCCCUUACGCAAAUUUCCUCCGUGCAUGGCUGCUUGAUAUUUAUAUUUAUAUGUUUUCACAUUCAUGAAUAGGGCUUAUAGGUCACAUAGAUAUAUAUACACUCAAAAAGUGUAGGAGAUGACAAUUGAUAAAUCAUAAGAUAAGUAGAAAAAGUGUAAAGGAGAGUGUGACCAGAAACUCUCACAAGAUAACAUUGCUGAAUUUAUGUGGGAACUCCACCAUCUAUUGGCUUAUCAAUAAUUAAUUAAUUAAUUAACAUUGUCAUAUAUAUACAAGGUAUCAAACUAUCUAAUCAAUUAGGUCAUUUUUUCUCUCUUAAGAUUUUCUUCUUUCAAGUUCAGAUACCUUUCUCUCUAAAGAUUAGAUGCAUUUGUAGGAUAAGUAAUUUUGGCAUCAGCAUUCAUGGCAUUUAGUGAAGAGAUGAUGCUUAACUUGUUAGAUAUAGUAGCUUAUAUAUUGUUAUGGAUGAUUUUUUUGUCAUUGUGUAGUUUAUGAACCAAGAUAUGGAUGCUUAUCAGAUUAUUUAAAAAUUAAAACGUGAAAAAGGAAAAGAAAUAGUUGAAUUUUAGUAAUUACUCCCUCUGACCACAUUUAUAAUAAAAAAAAUAACUUUUUAGGUUAAUUGAAUAUCUAAUGUACCGGUCAAUAUAUUAGUCAAAUAGAUUAGUUAUUCAAUGAAGUUAAAGAAGUUAUUUUUUACUUAUAAAUAUGUUCGAAAGGAGUAUAUAAACCGAGUAAAUACAUGUUUGAAAAGAAAAGGAUAAAGGAAAGAGAUGAGGUUUUUGGUGGUAGAGUAAACGAACAUCUAUAUAUCCAUCAAUAUCUAAUUCAUAGCUUUUCUAAGAUUUGGAUACAAUUGAAAGAUUUGAAGCUUCAACUUCUAGUGGGCACAAAUUGAUGUUAUCGUUGAAGUUAUAUAACACAUUUCUCACGUGGCAGUGAAUUAACGCAAUUAAUUAGAAGUUCUAAAGAUAAAGAAUGUUGAAAGUUUGUGUAUAAUCAUAUUUAAUGCUACCUUAAACUAGAUUAGUUGUGUUAAUCAUGCGAGAAUUGCUCCCAAAUAAUAUCAUCAUAAUUUUCUUGCGAUGCAUUCAUUAGUAUUUUCUAUUCCUGUUCUAUACUCGCUAUCUACCUGUCCAACUUGGUUAUUUCAGUGGUUGAUUUAUAUAUUCGGUGUUUGGUAUAACCAAACAAAAUAGCAAAAGACAAAAGCAACCUACCUUACUGGAAGAAGCUUGAACAAGAUAACAUUCAAUUUCAUCGAAUCUUUGAGCAUCAAAGAAGCUUAAAAGUGUAGAAAGAAAAAGAAAAAAAAAUUGGUUACAUGGUUAGACCUUAAUACACCUAAAACCGUAACAAUGAGCUCUAUUCACUACUAGUUAACUGCAAUUGCUUAGUACAUGGCCAAUUUGCAACAACCUUGCUAUAAAAUUUGGCUACAUUUCAUGAGCGAAAAAUCAAACAAAUCAAAAGAUGUCUUCUGUAUUUAUCUUUGCUAAAAGGGACAAAUACAAGAAAGUAUUUCACAGACAUUGCUAAUAACAUCAAUAAGUUACUAUAAAAAAAAACACUUCGAUAAGUUACAUUGAUAACCGCUUUCUUCAAAAUGCUAAUCAUCCAACUGAUAUAAUAAGGAGAUGGAAGAGGAGAAAAGAAUUAGGAUGAAAAAAAGAAGAAGAAACCAAUAAAUAAUGGUACUAAAAUGAAAAAGAGGAGCAUAUUCAUCAUCCUCCACCUAUUUAAUUCACACUUCCAGAGCUAAGACAGUAAAACUAGCAAAGACUAAUCUGUGACCAUAUCCGCAACCCCAUUCUGUGCAGCCGCUUCUGCCAGCCUCUUCCAGUUCAAUUCCCGCUUCUCAGCCUCUUCUUUGGCUUUUGCUUGCUUCUCUGCAUAAUUCCUCUGGCACUCUUCAAAUAAUUCAGCAUCCAUUUCUAUAAACAUUUUGCGAACAUUAACAGUCAGCCCAUGAACUGCCUGGUUCCAGUGACUCUCGAUAUUUCUCUCAAAUGCUUCAAAUAUUAUCGGUAAUAUCACAGUCCUGUUUUGAGCAAUUAAGCCCACAAUAUGCUCAUUAUUCCAUAAAAAGAGGGCUCGCUCUGCAACCUGCAUAACAAAUUUGCCAAAGCAAAGACUUUUGAGGGAACAUUUAAACCAUGAUGACAGAGCAUAGGUAUUAAAGCAAAUAAAGUUCAAUUCUAACUGAUCAUGAUUCUAAAAAGCACAAAUUAAAGGGCUUGAGGAAUACAACAAAGCAUACGUAAAUCACAGAAUUUAUUCAGACAUUUUUAACAAAAGCUUAUAACCUAUAAAAGUCUUCAAUCCUAUACCGACAAAGACCUCAUUCUUAGACUUAGUAUGGUGGUCAACUAAGGGUUUGUGGAAGGAGUUUGGGUGAUAAUGAACAUGUAGGGAGAUCAUGCAUGAGUUUUGAUCCGUUGAUGAGCUUCUCUUGUUUGCUCAGGAUUUUAAACUUUUAAGGAUUCUGUUUAUUUUUCUUCUUUUUAGGUGUAGGAAGAAUAUUCAGCCAAUCAAGCAAACUAGAAACAUAAGUGUAAACUUGAAUAGCACUCCUACUAAUAGAAAGGGCUAUAAUGCUGCGUUGUUCCAUAAUAUUUUUCAGGAAAAAAAAUCUAUAUUAACAGCUGCUAAAGAGAAAUAAAAGCAAUACAAUGCGUCUGGAUAUGAAAACAGCUACAUUGGUACAUCAGCCUAAUGAUCUCAGUGAAAAAGGAAUAGAGCAGUAGUUUAAGAUAAUGAAUCAAUGCACCAUGUUACAGAUUUUGAACAGAACAAUAACAACAAUUGCCUUUUCUCACUAGGUAGGGUCAGCUAUGGUCCUAUGGAGAUCAAAAGACGCAUAACGCCUUAAUGAUUUGACCUAUAGUUUUUAUUGGUCAUCUUCUACCUCUAACUAAUGAACUGGCAACCGCACUCGCCUAACUUGGGCUUCUACAAGUCGUCUCCAAACAUGAUCAAAUCACAUGAGGUGAGAUUCAUUCUAUCAAUUUAUUCCACAACAGGUUGAACUCAAACUUUCAAAUGCGUUUAUUUCUAAUCUUGUCUUCUACUAAUGCACCCCAACAAUUUCCAGAUGGGACUCAACUUCCUGCAAAAUAUAUCAUUACAUCUCUAGUUUGUUUUACAGUUUUACAAUAUCUGUUCAUGGGGGUUCUAUGUUACUUCGCCUAAUGCAUAUCAUCAGUAGCAUAAUCCAAAGUAGUUGCAGUUACUAGUGGUAUGCAAACAUUAAAAAGAUAUUUUGUUGAUCAAGUGACUGAGAAUAAGAGCAUUCCCAAAGUGUGCACAAGGUUUUAUCAUUCAAUAGCAUGCACCACACACAAUAAAAAGAAACACCGGCCUGAUAGAUAUUAAGUUCAACUCCAGAGAAAGAAACAUAAAAAGCAAUAAUUCAUGAGGGUGACUCUCUAGAUGUGGAGUUCAACUCCACAAAGCAUCGCAUACUACUUGAUGUGGAACUUAGACAAUCAAUGAUACCCAAGUCCUUACCAUUGCACCAGCCUUAAGAGCUGAUGCCCUGGCAACUAAAUUAUAACACGCUUAACUCGUACUUUCCAGUCAGCCCCUCAGCAGGUAGCGUUUCUUGAGACAUUGGCAACCAGCAUUGAUACCAUCUGAUAAGCACCAAAACACUGGAGGAACCCUCCGUUAAAAGCUAGUUGUCAAGGGGGAAGAACGAAGUCACUAUCAUAUACUCAAGCCCCUAUAAGUACCAGACUUGCACGUCUCUUUAAGGAUGCAUAUAUAAACAGCUAUAUGGAUGGGUACGGAAAGUUACCAUUCAUAACCACUAACUUCAAUGUAUAACUUAUAAGGAAGAAGGUGAAAAUUUCACCGUGAGAUAAAGAAUAUUGGAUCUCUCUGAAUAGAAUGUGAUAUAUCAAUAGUCAUUAGAUUUUAAUGUAUUAAAGGCAAGAUUACAACACAGGAUUUCAAAAGGUUGGAAGUUAUAUGUUUAGUUUGAGUAAUCAUCCCCCAUAGUAUUCUAUCAAAAACCAUGUCUUUCUCCAACUCAUUGAUCACUAGAUCCUUCUUGAUAGUUUCUCUAAAAGUUUUUUUAGGUCUUCCCCUACCUCUAGUGAUUUGCCUCCACUCCAUAUAUGAUCUACUCUCCUUACUACAACAUCCACAUGUCUUUUCUCUACAUGCCCAAAACACCUAAGUCUAGUUUCUAUCAUCUUUUCUGCUAUAGGUGCUACCGUCAUAAAUGAGCAACAUUCUUUAAAACAGUUUAAUGGGACGAUCUUAGAGAGAAGCAUGUUAAAUAACGCAGGGAGUUAACGAGAACCAAUUAUGCAGGGAGCUUAUGAGAACCAAUUAUGUCGAGUUGAAAUAUUCCCUAUUUAUCUUUCAUUGAGAGAUAAACACAGGUCAUCAACACUGAUAAUGGAACGAGGAAGCUGAUGACAGCUUCCCAGAAUACAACAUCAAUGUUUGUUACGUCUUCUCGAGCUGUUUGUUUUUAUAUCAAAAACAUAGGUCAUGGGACAAGCAUGUCACGUCAUAGUAAAAAAAGAAUAAAGAAAAUACUAUGAAAGAAACCUACAGCUGAGAUUUCUUAUACGAACAUCUCAAUUUGAGUUAUUAUUAAACAGAAAAUUAUAAUUACAAAACCAAACAUAAGCUGGUACUCAUAUAAUUUUUAUGUCAAGGUCUUCUUCACAACUUCAAAGAGAUACAAAUCAUCAUACUUAAAAUUCCAUACUUGACGCAAAAGCAUUUUCUUAGUAGAUGGAGUUGCCGAGUCAGCUAAAUGGAUAAAAUUGUAAUGGCCUAUAAUGAAUUAAGUCAAGAAAUAGAUCAUUAAAUUUAAGUCCCUCUGAAAAUUUGACCCAAGUUUUGUUGGUCUCUCUCUCUAUAUCUAAUUAUUGGACUAGUAAACAUUUGGUUUAACACCUUCCUGAAUACCCAACCCCCCCCCCCCCCCCAAGAGGAGAUUCCAUCAUCUUUUCAAUAAUGGGAGGUAUAAGUCCAUAACUAAUAAGCAAACCAACAGCCCAAAAUUGCAAUGUAGUUCUGUUUGAUUUUGCAACUUUAGUACUCAGUUUUAAAGCAGAAGAUGAACGAUAAUGAAUUAAAAAAGCAUGUGCAUGGGUCUAAUAUGUUUCCACUUUUAUGUGUGAAAGGCAAGAAAAAAAUUAAGUCAGUCAGAAAUUUAUAGCAUCUCACUUCAAUAGGUAAUAAAAUAAUAUCAAAGUUUUCUUUUACCCUUUUUCCCAUCAAAUGGUACAUCACUAAUAGAUGCAUGACAUAAACAGCAACUAAUCACUACAAUUGUACGCAACAUAAAGGAAAAGGAAAACAGAAAACGAACAUGACAAUUAAAAUGAAUUAAUUAGGCAUGUGAAACUAAUACCACCCCCAUUUGAUAUUAUUACUAAAAGUAAACAACCACAUUUAAGUGGAAGGAUGGCAAGUUAAGAAAAAGACCUAGAUUAGGUGAACAAUUUAUGGUAACAUUGAAAGUAACCGUUCAACAAACAACAUUGCAAAUUCAUACAAAACCCAAAAAAGGAAAGAAAGCAAAUCAAAAUUGAACAAGUCCCAACUAUCAUCACUAUAAAAGGCAAAAAAAACAAAAUUCACAAACCUGAAAGGAACUGUUGAGGCAGCGGGAAAUCUGUUUGAAAAGUUGAACCAUGCAGCGUUGAAAUUCAGCAUUCUGUGUUGCCUCCAACACUUCCUCAAGUUCUCCAAGAAAGAGAAUUUCCUUCUGACAAUUAGUAACAGGCCAAUACUUCAACAAACCCCGAAUAACCGUAUCAGCGAGCUUAAAAUCCUUUUCCACAAACUGAGUUAUGCAGUAAGACAACUGUUGGUGGUACAUAACAACCGAUUUCGGCUUAUGCAAAGGCAAAAGAGCCCUAACAAGAAACAACUUAUGCUCCUCUUUCAUAGGCAAAGCAAACCCAUUAAUAAUACUACCCAAAAUCUCCAAAAGCUCCCCAAUACCACAGUGUCGCUCAGUCUCAUAUAUAAACCGAUAAAAAAUAUUGUUAAUUGCUUUUCUAAUAAACGGUCUAUGAACCAUGAAUUUUCCAUAUAUACGAUGCAGAAUAGUUUUCAAAUACUCACGCUCACGAGGAUCCUCAGAAUCGAAUAAAUCUAGCAACUUUAACACAAAGGAAUGAUCAAUGUACCGUUUUGCAACCUUUGUAUCAGUAUCAGAUGAAACCACAUAUCUAAGCAAAAGCUCAUAAACCAGUUGCAAGUGUGGCCAUGCCGGCUCCAAACAAGGCUCUUCCUCUUCAGGAUCAGUCGGCUCAGUCCCGGUGUUCUCAUGCGACGCAGGCGGCAAGCACCGGAAAAUGUUGAUAGAUAUCAUCCUAAUCAUCUCUUCUUGACAAUUCUCCGAAAUUUUCCCCGAACCCGAUUGAAUAAACUCAACAAGCUCUAUCAAAGCUUGACGCUUGAUCUCUUUUUCGCGAACGCUCUUCAGCGUAUCAGUGAAAUCAAGCGAGAAACAACAUACAUGAAGUUUCCUCAGAAAGAUAUUUUGUCUCUCGGAAACCGGAACAUCGCGGAAUAAAGGAACGGGUUCCAUUGUACCGGAAGAUGGAGUCAAAGGCAUCACGACGCCGGAAUUUACGGUGGAGGCACCGCCACGGGAGCCAUGGUUGACGAUAACCGGAGCUGCUGAAUUGCGGUUGUUACCGGACGGUGGUGGAUCGGUUGAAUCCGAUUUGGAGGGCUUUUUAUGCCCUCCUUUCAUCAUUUUCUUGAACAUUUUGUCUUCUCGUUACGAAACCCUAACCCUAGAAUCUGAUUCAGAAUAAGUGAUUAAUUCUUGAAUUGAGUGAUUAAGUGAGUUGCAUGGGGAAAAGCGAUUCAUCGAACGAAGCUAAUCCAUGAAUUUAUUUUUUUUUCGAUUUUUGAAUCGAAUUGAAACGGAUCUGAAAGAGAAGAAUGAAAGGUUGAAGAAGAAGGAGGAGGUUAAGGAGAAUGGUGAAGGAGAGUGAUGAUUGGUGAAUUGAGUAAGGUAGGGAUCAUGGUGACGAAUUCAUCGUCGGAGAAAAAUCGAUCGUCGCCGGAAAGAAUGGAGGAAAUAAGAUCGGUCGGAGAAGUAUUCCGGCGAGGUAGAAUAGAAAGAGUGAAAAGUGAUUAAGGUAAGAGAUUAGGGAUAUGUGUAUAAGGGAAGAGAGUGAUUAUAGAUUACAGUAAUCGCCUUUUAGAGAAAACCUUGUUGUGUAUUGCAUCAGAAGAAAACCCUUCUCCUUUCUAUAACUAAACUUUUCACAAUUUUCUUGGUUCCAAUAUUAAUUUUAGGGUUAAAUAUAUUUUUGAUCCCUAUAAAUAUAUCAACUUUUUGUUUUAAUCCCUCUAAAAUUUUCCUUCAACUUUUAGUUCUUAUAAAAUUUUCAAUCAUUACUUUUGGUCUCUCCUUUAAAGUUGGAUCUGAUAUUUCAAGUUGAAUAAAAUGAACAUCAAAACGGAAAAUAAAAAAACACUGUAAUAAAAAAAAUAAAGCUGCACAAAAAUGACGGAAUCACAUAAACAUGCAAAAUCCAAAAUUAAAGAUACGAAAAAUUACUUAUCUAACUAAUAGAAGAAGAAGAAAAAUAUCUACCAAAAAAAAAAAAUCGAGUCAUUUAGGUCAAUUUGUGGGGUCCAGUCAUUGGCCACUUGGCCAACAUACAUUUGACAACAUGGAAGGUUGCAUGUGAUGACAAGUAGCAAUGUGCAUGGUAUGCAGAUAGUGUUGUGUAUGAGUAACACAUGUUAUGGUGCAUGCAAUCCAAGAAACACGUGGUGUGGUGCAUGUAUUGCAAGGGACACUUAGAGCAUACACAUCCAUGUCACCCAAUUUGGUGGUAUAAAUGGACAUAUUCAAUACAUUAUAUUAGUUCAUACUUCUCAGUUAUUUAAACCACCCAACUAAAUUUUCCAAAUAUCCAUACCACUCAUCUAAAACUUUAAAAUGGGUCUUACUUAUUUCACAAUAUACUUCAAAUUUAUAUUUUACAUUAAUAAAAAUAUUGUUAAUAAAAUAGAUCCAGCUUUUCAAAUUAUGUUUUCAUCCCUUUAAUGAAUAAAAUAUUACUAAUAAAUGAAAAGGUGAAAGAAUGGCUACGGCUACGUAGUAAAAAUAUUUACCACCACCACUAUAUCAAUUAUCAGUUCCCAAACUGACACAAGGUUCUACACACUGGCAAAAGCAUUACAAACUACGAUCGAUAUUUGUAAGCCAACUUUGAUUUGAUUUGCUUCUCCUAUAAAUAAGACCAUAAUCAAGCAUUCACAACACACCACAAGAGAAGAACAACAAAAGCAAGAGAGAAAGAGAGUCUUGCUCAAAAGAGAAAAGUGAUCCUCGUAAAAAGUUUCCUUUUGAGAGAAAUAGGAAGUCAAUUUGUGAGAGUGUUCCUUACAAAUAGAGAGAUAUAUUGUAGUGAGAUCCACUUAAAGAUGAAGUUGUUUUAUUCCCAUUAUUAUUAUAGUGGAAGUUUAAGAGACCCGAGGACCCCGUGAUUUUUUCCUUUCUCACAUUGAGAAGGUUUUACACGCCAAAAUUCCUUGUAUCAUUACGCUUAUAUUUCACGUUUCCGCUGAGUUCACGUAGGAGAGAAAUUAUGCAGAUAUUUUCCAACGCAAUUAAUCUUAAAUCACCACUCUCAUAAAAUGGGAAAAUAGGGUGGCGGCUAAGAAUUGCGUUUGAGAGGGCGGUUAGCCAGUUACCUCAUAAUAAAUAGUCUCUUUUGUUUUUGUUUUACAAACUUCAUAGGGUAUUAUUAAUUCAAAGAAAAUGUUAACAAGUGUUUUUGGAAUACUAGUUAAUGAAACAAAUAUAAUAAUUUUUUGUAAUUUAUGUAAUCAAAAAAAUACUUAAAUGUGCAGAAAAUAUUGUUUUCAAUAUAAAGGCUAUGUUUGGUAAAAAUAAUGGAUAAUUGAUAAGCUAGUUGAUAGCUGAUGUCUGAUAACUGAUAAACUAAUCUUUUUGUUUUUUCUUUUGUUUCUUUUUUGUCAAGUAGUCUAGUGGCUAGAGCUCACACAAUUUAAUUGUGGAGAAGUGGAGUGUCCAGGGUUCGAACUCCAGCCCUGCAUAUAAAAUGCAAUAUCCCUACCAACUGAGCUAAGCUUUUGAGCAUUUUUUAUUUUUUAACUAGUGUCUCAGAGCCACUUGUUAACAUGACCUUUAAUUUAAUUUGAUUUUUCCUAUUCAAUAAUAAAUAAAUAAAUUAUGUGAACUAUAUAUAAUUUUGAAUGAAUUGGAUAAUGGGGAAAUGGAUUAAGUGAGUGAGAUGAUUGAAAACCACAAGUGUAAUCAUGGAGUUGGUACGAGGGUAUUACGUGGCCUGUAAGUCAAGAGAGUGAGGUUAUGAGUUUCCACGUGGCAUAGUAAUGUCGUAUAUGAUAUCACUGACACAUGUUGUGUGAGUUUCUUCCAACAAAAAAUUUAUGAGUAAAGGUACAAAGGUAGAAAGAUUUUUCAGAAAAAGGAAACAAAGAGAGAUUCCAUCCAUGAAUGAAAUAAUAGGAUUCUUCACAUGUCUCUCCCCAAAAUAUCCGCAAAACUUUAAAAAGGAUUUUUUUUUUUUAAAUAAUGUUUUAUUUUCUAUUAAUUCCUCCCAAUCUUUUUUUUUUUUGAGCAAAGACAAAAUUAGUGCAUUUCAUUUAGAAAUAAAGAGUACAUAGUAGAUGGUACAUCAUUAAAAACAUAGGGACUAGGGUGAGAUAAGGAUGCUCUAGCAAUACUAUGAGCAACCUUAUUAGCUUGCCUCUUAACAAACGACACUGUAAAGUCGGGAAUAGUAGAUAAAAGGAUUCGACAUUGAGAGACUAGAUCUCCAAACUCAGUAUUAGGAACAAUAGAUGAUGAAAGGGAAUCUGCAAGUAAUUUACAAUCUGUUUCAAACCAAACAGAGUGAAAUCCAUUUGAAAUAGCCAUUUUGAUAGCUUCGAGUAAGGCGAUGGUUUCAGCUUCUAGGGACGAGGCAUAUAAGUGAAUGUAACCUGAUUUACCCAAUACAAGUUGUCCCAAAUGGAUCCUGAAGCACAUUCCAUAACCUAUGGUAGAGUUGUUAUCAAACAUGGCAGCAUCCGUGUUGCAUUUAAUCGUACCAAACCGCGGUUUCACCCAAGAGGGAGUAAGCACUUGAUUUUGCACUUGGAGCUUUGCUCUUUGCAUACAACUCCAUUCUUGUAAGGAGCCAUUAGCACGGGAGAUGAUGUAAGUGGAAGUAGAUUCUGAUGCUUCCCAUAACUUUGUGUUGCGACUUUUCCAGAUGCUCCACAAGAGCAUUGCGACUAGGGGCUGUUGGUGGAGCAGCAACCUGUCAAAAAAAUCAAACAGAGUGUUUGUGAAAUUAUCUGCUGUUAGAAGAAGAUCACGGACCAGGUUUCCCAUUCCAAUAUUCUCCCAACAUUCCAUGGCCUUGGAACAAACAAAGAAUGUGUGCAUGUGAGUUUCCGCCAACAAAUCACAAGAGACACAUGAUUCACUACAUGGAACGCCGCGUGUAAUGAGAUUCACUCGUGUAGGAAGACAUUGGUGAGCAAGACGCCAGAGAAAUGAGCGCACUCGAGGAGGAACUUUAAGAUUCCAAAGAGCCAUCCAUUUAUGGUUAAGGAAGCAUGCAAGAGAUCAAUACAUAUACGGUAGGCAGAUUUUACUGAAUAAGAGCCAUCUACCGAGGUCUUCCAGAUACGAAUAUCCUCACUUUGGGUGGAAUAUAGUGGUAUUGCAAGGAUGGAUGCAGCAUCCGAAGGAUUAAAUAAAGAUCGCACAAGUGUAUGAUUCCAAGAAUUCAUACCCGUGUGAAGGAGGUGAGCAACCGUGAUAUCAUUAUAAUGCAAAGGCGGAGUAGUAGAAGGCUUAAGAGAGGGAAGACCGCAGAUCCAAGGCAUAGUCCACACAUUUAUUUUGGAACCAUUUCCAAUCUUCCACCUGUGUCCUAAGGUAAGCAAGUGCUGGGUACUCCAAAGACUCCUCCAAGUAUAGCUUGGAUUAUGACCAAGAGAGGCAUCCAAGAAAUCCCUACGCGGGAAAUAUUUGGCUUUGAGGAUACGAGUAAGUAAGGAGGUAGAGUCGGUCAAGAGUUUCCAACUUUGUUUACCAAGCAUUGAAAGAUUGAAAGCUUCCAUGUUACGAAAACUGAGGCCGCCGAGGGUUUUAUGAUAAGUGAGUUUCUCCCAUCGCAUCCAAUUUAUACCACGACGACCAUUCUUUUUAGAACCCCAAUAAAAUGAAUUCAUUAUUCUCUCAAUUUCCGCACAAAGUGAAGUAGGGAGAAGGAAGGCACCCAUACAAUAAGAGGGAAUAGCCUGAGCAGUAGAUUUGAUCAAAAUUUCCUUACCAGCACGGGAAAGUGACCGAGCACUCCAAGAUUGACAUUUGUUCCAUAUCCGAUCCUUCAGAUAUGAGAAGAUCGCCUUCUUGCUGCGCCCAACUAUGGAGGGAAGGCCCAAAUAUUUACCACUACCAAUAGCACCAGUAACACCAAGUGAGUGAGAGAUGGCAGAAAUAAUGUCAUGAGGCGUGUUGGUACUAAAAGCAAUUGCGGAUUUCCCAUAAUUGAUAGCUUGACCGGAGGCAUUUUCAUAAUGCAUGAGGAUCUCUUUAAGACUUUGAGCUUCAGCCAUGGUAGCUUUGCAGAAUAAAAAGCUAUCAUCUGCGAAUAAUAAGUGGCUAACCGACGGUGCUGCGCGGCAGAUACGGUUGCCAUGAAGCUGACCCCUUAAUUCACGAUUUUUAAUAAUUGCUGAUAGGCCUUCGGCACAGAUGAUGUAGAGAUAAGGUGAGAGAGGGCAGCCUUGCCGGAGUCCACGUUCAGGGGUGAUAGGUCCAAUGCGAUCGCCAUUAAAGAUAACAUGAUAUUCCACAGAAGUGAUGCACAUCAUCAUCCAUGAUACCCACCGAGUACAAAAACCCAUCUUGUCAAGAAUAGCUUUAAGGUACAACCAGCUAACACUAUCAAAAGCCUUAGAGAUAUCAAGUUUCAGAGCCACCUCACCAAUUUUACCUUUGGUUUUGCAGCGCAUAUGAUGUAAGAUUUCAAAGGCCGUUAAAGCAUUAUCCAUGAUAGAGCGGGAGUGAACGAAUGCUGCCUGUUCAUGAGAUAUCCAGUUAUUGAUCAAGGGCCGAAGACGAUUUGCUAAAACCUUUGAGAUAAUCUUAUAAAGAACAUUGCAAAGAGAGAUGGGACGGAGAUCCUUCAUAGAUUCUGGAUUAUCACCUUUCGGCACAAGAACAAUAUUUGUUGAAUUCAAAUUCGGUGGUAAGGAACCAGAAUCUAUCCAUGCAGUGGCUGAAGUAAACAACUCGCUCCCGAUCUCAUCCCAAAAUUUUUGGUAGAAUGCCGGAUUUAGGCCGUCGGGACCCGGUGAUUUAUCCGGAUGCAUACUAAAAACUGCGUCUUUGAACUCACUUUCAGUAAAGGGUGCGGUGAGUGUGUUGUUUUCUUCAAUGGAGACUCUUGGUUGUACACAAGAAAUGAUAGGAUGGUGAUCGCCUUGCUGAGAAGUGAAGAUAUUCGUAAAAUAAUUACGGACAAGUGAACAGAGUUCGUCGUGAGCUACAAUCCAAUUGCCUGAUGGGUCACGAAGCUUUUUUAUAGUGUUUUUCCUCUUCCUGGCAGAUGCUGAUGCGUGGAAAAAUUUGCUGUUAGUAUCGCCAUCAGCUAACCAAUAAACCUUAGCGCGCUGCCUCCAAUAGGUGUCUUCCUGAAGUAACAGGUUGGCAAGAUUUUUCUGCAUAUCUUCAACUUGUGGAUCAAUCGCAUCCCUUGAGGAGUUGCGGAUAUCUUCUAAUUGUGCACGUUGUUUAUUAAUUUGCUGUCUGAAAUUGGGAGAUAUAUUUUUGCUCCAUGAGUUAAUGUCCUCUAUGCAGUAGCUAAUUUUUGAUAUUAUGCUUGAGGAUGGGUAUUGGUUCCAAUUCUCUUUCACAAGUUGGAUAAGAGAAGGUUCAAGUAGCCAUGCGUUAUUGAAGCGAAAACUGCGGUGAGGUUGCCUCCAAGGGAUAGGGUCAAGCUGUAGAAGGAGAGGCGUGUGAUCCGAGACGGGUGCUGCAAGAGUUUGGAGAGUUGAAUUUGGAAAUAAUGAAUGCCAAGAAGAAGUGACAAGGGCACGAUCAAGACGUGCUUCUUUGGAAGAGGCAGUACCAAUACUUUUGAACCAAGUAAAUUGGUAUCCAAUAAGUGGUAAGUCAAAUAGGUUACAGUCUGUGACAGCAUUUUGAAAGCCUCUAAUAAGCCAAGAUGGACGAUCCGGUCCCCCUCUCUUGUCUGUUGUAGAUAAGUGGUCGUUGAAGUCACCAAUGAUACACCACGGAUCACUUGAGAGGGUGCUGAGAUACCGGAGUAAGUCCCAAGACUCUCUCCGUCUACCGGAGUCUGAAUAACCAUAGAAGGCAGUAAGUCUCCAAUUGCCUACUGUAGGGUCUUGAAUAUGCAGGUUUAUAAAGUUUUGAGUAUAAUUUAUAAGCGAACAGUUAAUGGAAUUACGCCAUAAAACAGCAAGUCCGCCACUUCUGCCAAUUCGAUCAACUGAGAAAUGAUUAUCAAAGCCAAUUGUGUAGCAUAAAUCUGAAAUUUUAUUUCCAUUAACAAGAGUUUCAAUAAGAAUUACAAUGUCCGGUUUAUAGACUCGGACCAUGUCUUUUAUUGACGGAACUGCCUUAACGUUCCCCAAGCCUCGGCAGUUCCAAGCUAUGAUAUUCAUUUCGCCUGGCAGGCCUGGGAGCCAGGCUCUGCCAAUAAAAAAGAAGGCGACGACUGAGAGACUUCCAUGGGCGUCACUGAGUUUUUGUCACCAUUUCCUGUAGGUGCACGGUUUCCCUGUGGGGUAGGGGAGUCAGCAAGAAUUUUCUCAUUAGUUGUUGCAGAAAGGAUAGGUGGGAGCUGGGAUUCAAAAUUCAUUGGCUGCUCAAUUUUAUUAAUGCCUCUUGACCGUUUUGCUUUGAUUGAAAUAGAUGCCUCUGAAUUUUCCUCUUGUAACAGCUCAUCAGUAAUUUUCCCCUUAAAAUUAGUAACCGCCUGACUAUUAAUUGUUGGAGGGCGCAUUAAUUGUGGAUUCCUUAGUAAACUUGCCAAAUUGACAGGUUUAGUAACUGCGGAUUCUGCAUUUAUUGCUUGAGCUUGACUGCUAGAUACUGUAACUGUCAUCGGUGAAUGGAUUGCAAUGCCGGAAGCUUGUUGCCGGUGGGAGGAAUUUUGCUUUUCAACUCGCAGAUCAGGGGUCCAGAAUCGUGUUCCAUCAUCAGAGUCGAUGGAGUAGAGUUUUUCACAAUAAUCCUCGAUAUGACCAAGCAUGCCACAGAAGUAACAGAAAUUACCUAGGCGUUCAUAUUUGAAUCGAAUAUAGCUUGAUUCGCCUCCUGGCUUCUUGAUCUUUUUCUGGCGCUUCAAUGGCUUUGUAACAUCCAACAUAACUCUGAUCCUCAUAUAGGUACGGAGGUGAUUCGAAUUGUUCUUGGCGUCGUACUCAAUAAAAUCACCGAGGAAAUUUGCUAUGUCUUUCCCUACCUUUUCUGACAUAAGACCAACUGGCACAUCGUGAACCUGGAUCCAGAAUGGCACAAAUUGAAGGUUUGCUUGGUUUGGUGCGCCAUUUUCUGGAAGGACAUUGAGGACAAGGAGAUGGUUAUCAAAGUACCAUGGCCCUUUCUUGAUGAUUCUCUGCAGGUCAAGAUGGUGAAAGAAUUGGAAAGUGUAAAGACCUGGUUCUGCCUCUUGAAUUUUCACACCUUUGACAGGACUCCAAAAUGAUUCAAUUUUUUCCAUCAUCAUAUAGGAGCGAAUUGGUCUAUUAGUGAGGAAGCGGCCGACAAGGCAAAGGCGGGGGUCUGUUGUUUGGUUGGGAAUUUCAUCAGGUUGGAAAUCAAGUUCUUCUUCCUCAUCAUUCAAAGAGAGAUGAUGAAAGGAUGCCAUGAAAGGAAGUGAGGUCAAGGGAAAGGUAAUGAAGGGAUUGCUUCUCACAAGGAGAGAAUGAUACUGUUACUUCUCACAAGGAGAGAAUAGAUCUAGUGUAACACUAAAAUUUCACAAGGAGAGAAUGAUACAAGUAUGAGAUUUUGACAACAAAGAGAUUAAUUCCUCCCAAUCUAUAAUGUGUAUAUUUGGUUCCACGUACGAGUCAGAAUUUAUUACGAAAUGUAAAAUUAAUUCUGAAACGUUUGAUUUUGUCUAUAUUUUUUUUAUAUUAUUAUUUUUAUUUGAAGCAAGAAUUUGUAAUUUUAAAAUUAAAUUUUCCUUUUUUUCCUUAAAAAAUAUUAUUUUAAAAUUGAUGUUUAUAUACAAAGUAAUGGAUUUUAAAAUAGAGGGACCAAUUUUAUAAAAUGGUCAAAAUAAGGGACUUAAAAUGGCUAUUAAACGAAAAAAACAAUAUAAUAUCUUUCAAAAAAAUAUAAAAAUAUAAUAUAAAUCUUUAUCUAUUUGAAUGACGCCAACAAAAUAACUCAAAUUUGUUUAAGGGUAUAAUUAGGAGGAGAAGAGUCAGCCCAAAACGAGUUAAAACGCAAGUUUAUUCCCUACAAAAUUUUAAGAGAAUUGUUGUUGACACAUAUGCAUUGGCUGUGUCACACUAGUAAUUUACCGAAAUGCCCCUCGGCAGUUAGCUGCUGAAUUAUGGAACCGGCUGCAGUUAACUACCGAGGAAAACUUCGACAGUAAACUACCGAGGAAAACUAAAAAGUUCGGCAGUUAACUGCCGAAGAAACCUCAAACCUGUUUUUUUUUUUUUACAAAAACCAUAAAUUGUACUUAAUAAUAUUUAUUGAUUUUGAAUGUUUCCAUCAUUAUUUUGUACGAUUCAAACAGUUGCAGUAUUAUACUUAUGCAUAUAUAUAUAUAUAUAUAUAUAUAUAUAUAUAUAUAUAUAUAUAUAUAUAUAUAUAUAUAUAUAUGAAUAUUAUUUAAAUCUUGACCAAAAAAAUAAAGAGCAUUUAAGUCCUCAAAAAACAUUUCAAUAAGUGUAAAAAUUAAGCAUUUGAAUAUUGUUUUGCAAAUUACUUAAAUAAAUAAAAAAUCUUUGUGCACAAUUAUCUUAAUGUAGAAAAUAAAACAACAUAUUAUACCUUAAAAUAAAUCGUUGUGCACAAUUAUUUUAACGAUUUUUUAUUAUUAUUUGUAUUUAAGUAAUGUGCAAAACAAUAUUCAAAUGCUUAAUUUUUACAGUGAUUUAAAUGCUAUUCUUAUUAAGUUAUAUACGCAUAAGUAUAAUACUGCAAUUGUUUGAAACGUAUCAAAAUAAUGAUUGAAACAUUCAAAAUCAAUAAAUUUUAUUAAUAACAAUUUAUGGUUUUUGUCAAAAAAAAAAAAAAACAGGUUUGAGGUUUCCUCGCCAGUUAACUGCCAAAGUUUUUCAGUUUUUCUCGGUAGUUAACUGCAGCUGGUUCCAUAAUUCGGCAGUUAACUGCCGAGGGGCAUUUCGGUAAAUUACUAGUGUGACACAGCCUUAUGCAAUGUGUCAACAACGAUUCUCAAAUUUUAACGAUAGCUUUUGAAAAAUUUAUCCUAUACCCCAACGACUAUACUUAUACCUUACAAACCAUAAAAAAUAUCAAUUUUAACCCCGUUCAAAAUCAUACUCAUUCACCCAUCAAGUUUUUUGAAAAUCCAAUACACUUGACAAGUUUCUUCAAAUUAUCUACCAUACUGGAAAACUUGAUUAAAGUAUUUUGUGAUCGAAUAUAAUUAACAAUUUGAAAUCAACUCGGUUCUUUUUAAGCAUAUUCUUAGUUAUUAGUAAUUAUCUUUCAUUGAAAUAAAUAAAAAAGUCUCGAUAAUUUCUUUGUAAUUCCCAGACAUAACCGUUCACUUUAUGCAAAAUGUUCCUGUUCAUCGUUUAUGAACCACAACAACAUAACCUUUAAUAAUCCCUCACCUUUUAUAUAUAAUCUCACACAAUCCCAUUCUCUCAUAACUCAAAAAUCAUUAAAACAUCAUCAAACAAAAACCAAUACAUCUUUGAUGCGACUGCUGAUUUCCAAAUCCAAGGGAAGGAGAUGAAGAAUAAGAAAAUGUUUUCAUUGGAUUCAAAAUAACAAUCCUCGUGAGCUAAGUUCAGUUGGUAGGGAUAUUGCAUAUUAUAUGCAGGGAUAAAGGUUCGAACCCCGGACACCUCACUUCUCUAUAAUGAAAUUGUGUGAGAUUUUGUAGAAAUGGAUUCAAAACAACAAAAAGGCCAUGACGAGGAUCCCUGUUUGUGUUGAUCUUUAAUUUACACAAAAAUUCUGGAAAAUCUGUGUGGUACUUUCAAUUUUCAGAAAACUUGAUAGGGUAAAUGUUUGAACUGUGAGAUUUUAGAAAGGUUAAAAUUGGUAUUUUUUUUAUGGUUUGUAGUGGUAGACAUAUAAUUGUUGGGGUGCAUGGUAAAACUUCCUAACUUUAGACAUUAGACAUUCAUAAUGCAGUUUUUAAGAGCGGUCUCUGUAAUGCACUCUUUAAUUAUUUAAUUAUUUUAUAAAGUUUAGAGUCCACUUUGAUUAUUUAUGUGAUUUUAUAUGAUUAUGUGAGUGAUAUUUUGUUAUGUUAUAUGUUGGUAUUUAUUAAUAUAAUAUAUGUUAUUUGGUGUAGAAAUAUAUGUUAUUUUGUGUAGAAAUAUAUGUUAUCUGAUGUAGAAAUAUAUUUCUUAUUUGGUGUAGAUAUAUAUAUAUAUAUAUAUAUAUAUAUAUAUAUAUAUAUGGGAUAUGAUCAAAUGACACCAUGGUGUCAAAUUAAAUUUGACACUAAAUCAUAACCAUUAAUUCAACUUUAAUCCGACGUCUCUCAUCAAUUCAUUAAAUGCUCACAUACUUAUCAAAUUAUCUAAUUUUUAAUUUUAGAAACAAUUUAUUCUUUCUUUUUUUGAUUAAUUAUUAUUUACCAUUUGAUUUCUCCCUACAAUUUUUUUUUUUUUACUAAUCUUUGUUCAAUCAUCUUUGUAUCCUCUUUUUUUGAUUAAUUAUUAUUUACCAUUUGAUUUCUCCCUACAAUUUCUUUUGUUUUUUUUACUAAUCUUUGUUCAAUCAUCUUUGUAUCCUCUUUGUAUUGACUACUCUUUCAUUUGUUGGAUGGUAGUAUUCUUGAGUUCAUGCUGCUAAUAUUCUUUUAUCGGAUGUUCUAGCAUUUGUGUUUUGCUUUCGUUUAGUAGCAUAAGUUCUUUUUAAUUUUUUUUGGUGCAAUGUGCUCUUUAUAAAUCAAUUUUCUUUGGGUUCUUCUAGAAAAAAUAAAAAUAAAAAAGGUUAAUAGGAAUAAAGAAAUAAGGAUGAUAAGCCCUAAAAAAAAUAAAAAAAAUGAGAGUGAAUAAUUUUUGACAAACAAACCAUAAUAAUACCAUUACAGAAUUUUUGGUAAAUAAUUAAUCAAAAAAAGAAAGAACAAAUUGUUUCUAAAAUUAAAAUUUAGAUAAUUUGAUAAGCAUGUGAGCAUUUAAUGAAUUGAUGAGAAACGUCGGAUUAAAGUUGAAUUAAUGGUUAUGAUUUGGUGUCAAAUUUAAUUUGACACCAUGGUGUCAUUUGAUCCCAUCCCUAUAUGUAUNNNNNNNNNNNNNNNNNNNNNNNNNNNAUAUAUAUUAGAAUAGAAUAUUGAGACUUGGAGGGCAGAUUUGGAAAUAAGAGAAAAUAAGUAGGUUAAGGAUUUUUAUAAAAGGGGAGAGUUAGAAUUAGAAAAUAAGGAUUUCGUGAAACUGCUUUUUGGAGAAAAAGGGAGAAAACAAGGGAAGAGGAGAACCAAGAGAGAGAGAGAAGCUGCCGAUCAUCCAUUCUAAGGUAAGGGUGAGACUAGCAUUCAAUUCUAUUAAGUCUGUAAUUCUGAUGAUUAAAUUUAACAAGUGUAGAAUUAGUUUUAGAGAAUUGGAGAAUUAAGUUAAAGUGAGAAAUUGAUGAUUAAUUGAUGAAAAAUUGUUAGAUUGAUGUAGAAACUGUGUACAGACCUUAGAUAAUCCAUAUGAUGAUUACAAGAAUCAGUUUUAAGGUUUAAACCAUAUGAUUAGGUGAAUUUUCGUGAAAACUGCAAUUCUGCCCGAGCCAACAUUCAUCGCUCGCCUCCCGAGUGAUGAUCUUCAUCGCUUGCCUCAUGAGCAAAUCCCAUUCGCCUCGUGAGUUGCACCUUACAGCUCGCCAUAGCGAGUUUGACCGGUGAGAAAACAUGAUUUUGUGAUUUAACUCCUUCUGUCGAGCUUUAGAUGUUUUUGAGUGCCUGAAUAUGCAUAAUAAUGAUUAGGCAAGUUUUUAGAUUGAGAUUGAACGUGAGGAAGUUAAAAAUGAGAUUUUUGGGUGAAAAAUGUCAAGUUACCGAGAGCACCAAUUUCUUGUUCGCCAAGGCGAGCAGCUUACUCGCCAAGGCAAAUAGCCACUUUUUCUGAACUCGCCAUAGCGAGUAAUGUCCCUCGCCUCGCGAGUUCUUGUAAGACAGAAUACCUUGUUUAGGGUUUUGCGAUCUUUGUUGCACGAGAUGUUAUGAGUUGAUCCUUGGGGUAGGAAUGGAGGUUGAAUAUAAUAUUACUGAUGAUCUGAGAAGCAGUUAUAAUAUGAUUUAAUGUUGAUAGUAAUGUAUUAUAUUUGUAUAUGCAUUAUGAGAAUUAUAUAAGAUGUUUAAGUUGAUGUUGAUUAUCAUUUGAUGUUGUUAUAUCUUGAGAUGUUUAAGUGCUGCCUAUGUUGCUGUUGUUGGUUAUGUGAAAUAUUUAUAUGCCUUAUGUAGAAAAUAUAUGAUGUUUAAGUUGUUGAUGCUUUUCAUUAAUAUUGUUAUGUUGUGAAUUGUUUGUACUGUUUCUGUUGUUGUUGCAUAUUGAUCAAGAUGCAGAUGUUGGUCUAAGUUAUAAAGUUGUAAGUUGUCUUUCCAAAGUGUUUCAAAGUAUUGGAGUCUUAAGUUGAUAAUGUUGUCUAAGUUGUUGAAGUCGUAGUUGAAGAUGUUGUUGGUGACUGUUUAUGUUCAAGUGUUUUGUAAGAGGUGGUGUACUCUUACGUUGUUGUUCUAUAAGAGGUGGUGUACUCUUACGUCGUUGUUCUAUAAGAGGUGGUGUACUCUGAUGUCGUUGUUUUAUAAGAGGUGGUGUACUCUCACGUAGCUGUAUUGACAGGUUGACGUUGUCAUCGUCGAAUCCUUGAAGUUGUUGAUGACAAACCAUGGAAUAUUAAUGAUUAUGUUGUCGUUUAUAUUAUUAUAAGAUGAUGAAUAUGUUGUUUGCUUAUGUUAUUAUAAGAUGAUGAUUGUGUUCUUGUUUAUAUUAUUAUGAGAUGAUGAUCAUGUUGUUGUUUAUAUUAUUAUGAAGAAUUAUUAUUAUUAAUUAACAAUGUUUAUGUUGUUUAAUUUAAUUGUUGAAUUAUAUGUUUAAUAUUAUUGUUUUGUGAAAUCUCACCCCUUCUGCUUGGAAAUGUUGCUCUUCGUAUGAGUAACUUGCAGGUGAUCGAGAAUAAGUAGCUGUUGAUUGCUGUCGUGAGUGGCUAUAACUCAAAGUGUCUUUAGGUGCUCUAAUACGUAACAGGAUGAGAACUUUUGUGGCUAUUUUCUAUUCCUAACGUAUUGCUUAUGAUUUUACAUGACUAUGAUUUAGUUUGGAUUUUUAUGAGAUGUUUUGAUGAAGCCUUCGUGCCAAGUUUAAUUAUGUUGUUGAAUUAAAUCCGCUGCGAAGUUUUGAAUAUUUAUGUUGACGGAAUUAUGAAGGAUAAAUUGUUAUUUAUUCCAUUUAUGAUUUUUAAGAAGUGUAUCAUUCUGUUUAUGUGGAAAACUCUGAUUAUUUGUUAUAAAAUUUUUAUGUUGGGAAAACGGGGUGUUACAGUCUCAGUUUUGGAAACUUUGUAGAAAAAAAAAAGAGAUAUUUUUAAUCCUCAACAUAGUCCCUAUAAAACACAAAUAGGUAUUUAAAGUGAAUAUUUUUUUUUGGAGAGACUAAACUUAAAAGUUUAUGAUUUUGUACGGGCUAAACAUAUUUAACUCUUAAAGUCUUCUUAGUAAGACAUGAUUUUGAGUUUAUAGUUUAUACUCCCUCCGGUCCUUUUUAUUAGAAACAAAAGUGAGAAUUUUUUUGGUCCUUUUUAUAAGAAAUAUUGAUCAAGUUUUAAGUAUCUUUGAAGUUAAAUUUCAUUUGUGCCCUUAUUUAUUAUGAGAGAAUAUUAAAAGUAAGUAAGUUGGUGGAAUAAAGAGUAAUUAAUUUAGGGGUUUUAAUGGAAUUUUCUUAAAUAUAGAGGUGUAUUAAAUGAAGAUUACUAUUUUCAAUGUAUUUCCUUGGUCUUGAUGUUUUAUGUCUUUUGUUUCUUAUAUAAAGGAUCGGAGGGAGUAUCUUAUAAGUUCAUCCAACUAAAAAAGACAUGUUUGAUAAGUGUCACUUUAUCACGAGCUUAUAAUUUUUUUUUUUGUCAAGUAGCAUAACUGCUAGAAUUCACCUUUUUCAAGGUGAAUAAGUGGGGUGUCUGGGGUUCGUAUCCAGACCUCUGUAUAUAACAAUUCAUGUCCCUGCCAACUGAACUAUGCUUCCGGGGACGCUUAUAACUUAUUUUUACUAACUUAUGUUUGUUUUUUAUAAGCUAAUUCAAAUAUCUUAUUACCUUAAAGAUUAUAGCUUAUUAUUUAUCUCAACUUUAUCGCUACAAAUUUAAUUGGAAAAUAAAAUUAAUUAAAUAUAUCGUUUUUAUGUCAUUUUAUAUCUAUAAGAUAGUUCAAUAAGUACUUUAUCAAACACUAGAAAUUCAAUCAGCUGGUUUAUUCGCUAUCAAUUAUACGUAAACUUAUCAAAUCAACUUUUCAUUAUUUUUAACCAAACAAACCUUAAUAUUAUUAUUACUAUUUAAAAUAAAAAUUACAUUUAUGAUGUGUACUUGCUUUGAGUUAGGGGAUAACAAAAACGCAUGCUUCGUCCGUUCAAAAGGAAAAAAAAAAUACAUGCUUCGUGUGAUUUGUGUGAAAAUGUUUGGCACCAUCGAGCAUUUUUCAUCUAACGGUGCUCAUAAACUAAGAAGAAAAUGUAACGAAACUUUAUCCAACGCUUAAGACAGAAAUAAGGAUUUUUGUUGUGACAUAGCAAGCAUGGAGAUAAAACAAAAUAUUGGCUGCAUGGAAUAAUUAAUAUGAACACACCUCUUCACUUAAUAUUUCUCCUUAAUUUUAUAUUACAAUGUUUCCAAAACAUGGUAUAUGAAAAUUAAUUUGGAUCCAAUUCCAUGUCUUUCUCAUCAUCAAGUCAUGACGCUUUAUCCGUCUCUUGUGAAUAUAAUUACCAUAUAAUAUUAUAUACUAUAUGUACCAAUCAAUAUAUUAUAUUGAUUGAAAACAUAAAACAACAGGUCUUCCACUUCAUUAAUUUGGCUUUUUCCUCCUUGACAUUACUACUAUAUAUAUGUGCUCUAGCUAGCUGCCAUUACUAUUUAAUCCCAUAGUUAUUGAUUGAUUCCACAAAAAAAUAUAUUAAUCAGCCAUGGAUAAUGAAGCCAAGAGAAUGGAAGAAGGAAUCAACUCACCCCAUAAUGAGUAUGGGCAUACCACAAAGCUGGAAACCAAUGGUGGUGGAGAUACAAUUGAGAAUGAGAGAGACAUAAGGACCACACUAGAGGGAGAGUCAGUUCAGCAAGUACCAAAGGAGCAAGAGAUUAAGCACAAAAAAAGUAGGGUUGCAACUCUUGAUGCAUUUAGGGGCCUCACAAUCGUGGUUAGUACAUACUUUUCUAAGAUGCUUUUAACGCUAUCAAUAAAUCAUAACAAAUCAUAUGUGUAACUUUAGAAGUAGUCAUAAUGAAAAUAAAAUAUUUUUAAUUAUCUGACAAUCGAUAUUAAUUGACGAUCUAACAAUAUUUACAGUUGAUGAUAUUGGUGGAUGAUGGUGGUGGAGCUUAUCCUCGAAUUGAUCACUCUCCAUGGAAUGGAUGUACAUUGGCUGAUUUCGUUAUGCCUUUUUUCCUUUUCAUUGUUGGAGUUGCUAUAGCUCUUGCAUUAAAGGUAUUAUACUAUGCAUGUAAUGCAAUGUCACUUAAUUAACAAAGAGCUAUAUCCUCAUUUUUGUAUGAUUGUUUCUAGUUUCUAGUUCAUGUAUAUCUAUAUAGUCCAUUGAUUAUGACCUAUAAGUAACAAUGCAGAGAAUUCCCAAAGUUAAGGUUGCUGUGAAGAAGAUAAUUUUUAGGACAUUAAAGCUUCUCUUCUGGGGUUUACUUUUGCAAGGUAAACUUUUUUUUAUCAGGCCAAAAUGAAUUAUAUUAACACUGACAGCACAAUCGUCUCAGCACAAGACGUGCCAAAACAAUCACGAAAAAGCUAGCCGAUCCUCAAAAAUAAAAGUGGGCUCGACCACCACAAAUGAGUACUGAAAACAAAAUUAAUCUUGCUAGCUUUCAGCCACCACAAAAACCUUUACCUCUAUGUUUCACCAUCAUCAUGAUUAAGCUCAAACUUGGCGACUUAGCAAGGACAUUGGCUAAAGAAACAAAAGUAUAUAAAAUAUUUAAUGAAAAUAGUUAUUAUAUUGAAAACAUAUAAAUUAUCACUUUGUAGUAUUAGUAAACACCUUUUCUUAAAUAAUUAAAUAUUCUUUAACUAAUUGUUUUAAAUAAAGAUAGUGUAUAUCCAAUUUGGUUCUUCAUAAUUUUCUUUUGGCUCAAUUAAGUUUCUGACAAAAAAAAAAAAAUCAAAUUAGUCUCUAACAUUUUUAUGUAGUGUGUGUAUAUUUGACUGUACUGACAAACUGCAGGUGGAUAUUCACAUGCCCCUGAUGAUCUCUCAUAUGGAGUUGACAUGAAAUUUAUCAGAUGGUGUGGCAUUCUUCAGGUAUUUAUAUAUGUAAUUGAAUUAAUCUAUACAAGCCUAAUUAAAGCACCAUGUUAAAAUUCUCAAUAAUUCAAUUCUUGAAUAUAUAACUCUUAUUUUGUGUAUUGUGUUUCAAUGCAGAGGAUAGCUCUUGUAUAUUGCAUUGUAGCUCUAAUAGAGACAUUUACCACUAAGCUUAGACCUACAACCUUGAGUCCUGGAUACCUAUCCAUUUUUACUAGCUAUAGAUGGCAAUGGUGAGAAAAGCAACACACAUUUCAUAUUCAACAUUUAUGAUAAUUUGAAUAAUAUCUAUAAUAGAGAUUUCUAGUUUCUAAAUAUAUGUUUUGAUUAAUAAUUAAUUGCACAUUAAUUUGUAUGUGUUACAUAUAUAGGCUUGGAGGGUUUGUGGCAUUUGUUAUUUACAUGGUCACUACUUUCAGCCUCUACGUUCCAGAUUGGAGUUUUGUGGAUUAUAACAGUUCCAAAUUAAAAAGAUACACAGUAAUUAAUCUCUCACUAUGUGUAUUCCUUAUUCUAUCUUCUUAAAUUAUUAUUUUAAAAAAUUUCUUUUUGCAAGGUCGUAUGUGGGAUUAGAGGACACUUAGGUCCUGCAUGUAACGCUGUUGGGUAUGUGGAUAGACAAAUGUGGGGGGUUAAUCAUCUUUACUCUCAACCUGUUUGGAGUCGCUUAAAGGUGAGUUUAUAAAAGUGGAUACAAGAAGUUAACUAAUUUUUCUUGAUCACAAGAUUAAAUGCACCGUGCUUAUGCGCCCGCGCGCAUACGAUAGGGACAUUGUUUUUAUUAAUAUUAAUAAAUUGAUUUUACUUUUUUAUGAAUGCUAUUUUGUGUGUGCGUUUAAGUACUAUGUAUUUGAUCUUCUAACAAUACUAAGGAUACUAAGAAGUAAUAUAAAUUAACAUUAAUAUUUCCUUUUCUUUUACUCCAUUACAUUUUACAGGCUUGCACAUUCAGUUCUCCAGCUGAUGGUCCUCUUCGUAAGGAUGCACCAACAUGGUGUCGUGCUCCUUUUGAACCUGAGGGUUUUUUGAGGUAUUUUUUCUUUUCCAAAAUAGAUAUUCAUUAAUUAAUGAAUGAUAGAUUAAUAUAAAAUAAGUCAUGAAUAAUAAAUAGCAUGUAUGAUAUACAUGCCUUUUACAAACUAAACUUACAUUCAAAUUUUGUUUCACUUUUAUUGUGUAAGGUGACACAAUUUUUUGGAUUUAGCCUCUCAAGUCUCAAUUGAAUUCAUUUUUUAAAGGAUUAAGUAAAAAAAGAUUAACCAUUUAUUAGAAGGUUAAGUAAUUUUUACAACGGUUCUGUUUGGUAAAAAUAACGGAUAACUGAUAGCUUAUGACUGAUAGUUGAUAGCUGAUAAGCUAAUUAAAAUGUUUGGUAAAAUUAACGGUUCAACUAACUGAUAAAUGUAAAAUGACAUUCUUUUUAUAUCAAUUAAUAUUUUAAAUAUUUCAUAAGUAAAUUUUUAAUUGAAGAUAUAUUUUAUCUAUUAUUAAAUCAAUUUUUCAGUAAAGUUUUAUUUUUCAGUUAAUUUCAUUUCAUUCAUACAAAAAUGUUCAUUUCAUUUCAAUUUUUAUACUUAUAAAAAUAAAUUAUGCAGUUUAUUUUAAAAACCAAAACAAAAAUAAGUUGUCUAUACAUACCUGAAGUAGUUGAACAUUCUUUCAUAAAUGACAUAAAAAAUUAUAUUUUUCAUAAGACAUACUAAUGCAAGCAACUAUAUUUGUACCCAAAAAAAAAAAAAAAAACGAAGCAACCGGAUAUAAAAUUCGGUUAUAAGAAGCAUACAUGCAACCAAUAUUGCUUUUGUCCAAAAAAAAAAAUGUAACAAUUGCAAAAUGAAACUAAAUAAAUUACUCACAGAAAGUAACAUGAGCGAUGAAAACAUAACCGAAGGUGCAGUAAUAAAUAAGUUAUAUAAGGGUAAACAUGAGUUUUAUUCAAAAUAAUAAGGGUAAAAAUAAGAUAAAAGAUGAUAAGUUAUAAGCUCAAACGCUACUUGAAAUAGCGUUUGGAAAAUAAACUAUAAACUCCUGAAAUAAGUUAUAAGUUCGUUGAAUAAAGACUAUUACCAAACAAAACUAUUUUUGUCAUACGAGCUUAUAAGCUAUUCGCUAUAAGCUAACUUUUUGGCCUUGCCCAAACAGAGCCAACAUAUAUGAUUUUGCUUGUUAGGAUAAACAACAUAAUCGAUUACCAUAUAAAUGCUUAAGGAUAAGCAAUUUUUAUAACAAAAACCAAAAUAAAGUCAAAUUAUUUUUCAUAACUAUAAGAUGUUUUCAUAAGAUAUAAGCUCUUCCUCUUAAAAAGAAAAAGAUAUAAGCUCUACAAAAGAGUCUCUACCAUUAGAUAAACUCAAAUAUCAGGUCCUUAGUUAUUUGCAAAUAUAUCCAUUAAAUAACAAAUAUUUUUCAUUUUUCUUUAAAGUGAAUUGCUCACUUGUGUUCGUUUUUUCUUAUUAAAUUGUAUAUGUAAAGUGAAUUGAAAUAUAAAAGCCAUAUUACAAAGAUUUGUAAAAAAUCAUUUGCACAAUAAAAAAAAGUUUAAUGACCUUUUGAUCCUUUUUACUAGUUCUAUAUCAGCUAUCCUAUCUGGGACCAUUGGCAUCCACUAUGGACAUGUCUUGAUUCAUUUCAAGGUUACAAAUUUAACCCUAUGCUAUUAUUAUAUGCACAUACUAAAGAUCUACAACAUUUCACAAAUGCAAGUUAUUAAAAACUUGAAAUAUUUUGACAGGGUCAUUCUGAGAGGCUCAAGCAAUGGCUCUCAAUGGGGGUUGUGUUAUUCAUCCUAGGCAUCAUUCUUCAUUUUACAAAUGGUAAGCUAGUGAAACUUAUUUUAUCAACCUCUUAUGGUUAGAUUAAACUCAUUCAAGAUAUUUACUAUACCAUUAAAGUAAGAUAACUAAUGUUAUAAAAUAUUCUCUAUGGAAUAAUGCAGCUAUUCCAAUUAACAAGCAAUUGUACAGCAUUAGCUAUGUUUGUUUCACAUCUGGAGCUGCUGGAAUUGUCUUCUCUGUGUUCUACAUUUUGGUAAAUAUGGAAUUAAUAUCAAUUGUUUGUGUAUAAAAGUUUUACACCGUAAGCAAAUCAUAAUCAAUCGUGAAAGUGACUUUACAAGUGAUGUUUAACGCCAACUUUUUUAUUGAUUUGUUGAUUAUGAUCGAUUGAUAGUGAAAAAAUGUUUACGUUGACAGUGUAUACGAAUUAAGCUCAUAUUUGAAUUGACAGUGAAAAUGACCUAGUUAGGGUGAGCCACCACCACGUUUAUUUGCAAAUGACCCACUCUGGAGCUUCCCAAAAUCGUAGUGUCAAUGUGAUUAUGAAAAACUUACCGACAAUCAAAACAUACACUAAGUCAUUCUUAUUUUAAAUCAACCUUAUGAUUCUUGUUUAAUAUUAUUGAUCAAUCAAAUUGCAGAUCGAUGUUUGGGGGAUUCGUACUCCAUUCUUGUUCUUAGAAUGGAUUGGAAUGAAUGCAAUGCUAGUGUUUGUGAUGGCAGCCCAAGGCAUCUUUGCAGCAUUUGUAAAUGGAUGGUAUUACAAAGAUCCAGAUAAUUCACUAGUAAGAAGUUUACCCUAUGAUUAAUAUAUAUAUAUAUAUAUAUAUAUAUAUAUAUGGUGCAUACUUGAUUAAUCAUGUUAAUUUUUUACAUAUUUUUUUCCCUUUUGAUUUCAAGUGGCUAGGACUAAUGAACUAACAAUUUUUAUGGCAUACGAUAAAACCAUCAAUCAGGUAAACUGGAUACAAAAUCAUGUGUUCAUCAAUGUUUGGCACUCAGAGAAAUUGGGAACUUUGUUAUAUGUCAUCUUUGCAGAAAUCACUUUCUGGGGAGUUGUUGCUGGCAUCUUGCACAAAUUAAGAAUAUAUUGGAAAUUGUAAUUAAGUUGUUAAUUUUUGUUGAUGUUCCUGAUUGUAUUCAACAUGUUCUUCUUAUUAAUGGUCUGAUUUUACCUGUGUAUAAAAAACAAGAAGGCCUCCAAAAAUGUAGUACUAUAUUGUUCUAUGUCUUUUUGUUUGUUGUUACUUCAUUGCAUUAUAUAAAAGUGUUAAUGAUCACAAGGAUCUAAGGAUUGAAUUUAAUAGAGUAGAAAUUACCAUUACAUCAAAAAGUAAAAUUUUAUCUUCAUUUUCCAUUUUAUUUAUUUAACAUCGAUUAUUGUAAUUACCACCAGAACAUGAAAGAAGUGAAUAGAUUUACCACUUUACAACAUUCACUUCACUUUCAUCUACUUGCUAGUGCCUUCUAAAUUAUAUACAUUAAGUUAGAAUUACAAAAGGUAUAAAAACAUAUAACGUGGCAAAGAUUAUAAUUUGCAUACCAUAUAUUUCACAAUUACUUCUAAUAAACUAAAUGAUAUCAUUAACUGUACAUGAGCAGAAGUUCAUCCAAAAGGUGAAAUGGAUUAGUCCCAACCCAUCAGCAUCUUCCAAACUCCCUCCUCAAUCUUGUUCCUUGGAACAGACAUCCCCUCCCCUUCGUCGAGUAAGAUUCUAUAAACCUCCCACUCACGGUCUUCAAUCACGUGUCUCCCGAUUUCAGCCUGUUGAAACAAUUACCAGAACAGAAUAUUAACAUAUUGUCAGCCGAAAAUCUAAAAGAAAUUGUGAAUAACAUAUAAACUCAAAUAUCUAUCUAUUCUGGUUGCAAAUAAGUUAUUGAUGAUGUACUCAAUGUAAAAUCUAAACUAUCAUAAUAUGGCUCUAUCAUAGAUGAUUGUAGAACCAUUUUAGCUAAUAACAACAACUUUCAGAUUGUUUUACUAGGCGACAAGCUAAUGGUGGCGCUUAUGCUCCUCAUAAUGACUUACAUUUUUCCUCUUGGUUGUAUUCUAAAUUUUAUUAGCAAUGAAAAGACUUAACUUGGUUUGAGUAAAAAAAAUCCACCUAAGUAAGAUCUGUUAAUUACUUGUUUUUUCAUGAGUAACUAAACACUGCUCAAGGAAGUUAGAUGUUUGAACAUUGUGCAGACUUCAUAAACAGUGAACAGUCAGAAGCAUGAGGAAUUACCGAAAAUAUGCAAACAUCGAGCAUUUUGAGAGCAAGAGUAAUAUCAUAAAAAACUAGAGGCCGUCCGUUGCCAGACAACUCGACAGGGUUUGCAACCAGAAGCUCGGUAUCAGGGCCUCUGCUCACAAUAGCUACUCUGAGUGGACGAAGUAGUUCCAUUCUAAAGCGCGACGCUAAAGAAUUUUGCUUGUUAGGGUCAACUAUUUUUUUGCCAUCUGCUUGCAUGAUGAACAAGUCCAUCUCACAUUUUCGUCGAGGUUUUGUGGUGAAACGCCCGAAUGAAAUCUGGUUAAGUGACAAAUUAGUUUGUAAAUUAAGGAUACUAAAGUUGACUGCAGAGGUGGUAAGAUUAACGUCCAGAAAUAUUGAUUUAUCAUGAUUCGAAAUUAGCAUACCUUAAUGUUGUAGUCCUUCAGAGUUCUCAUGAUGUCAUAUAGAAGACCUUUGUGGUCUUGGCACAUGAUUUGGAAGAGGGUAUGAGCCGGACUAAGCAAGUUGUCCAUCGUAAUAGAAACGUAAUCUGAUCGGAGAGUUCCACUCCGAGCCGAAUCAGGCAACAUCAAAUUAUAAUUGUCUUCUGUGAUUGCAGCUGGAAGGAAUGAAGAUGCCUGGGCGCAAGCAGUAAUCUCCGGGCCAACCAAUUCAAUGUCGAUAGUAAGGACGGAAUCCUCCAAAACAUCUUUUAAUUGUUGGAUUGUAUCGUCCUUUCUCUUCUUUGUUUGAAGAAGUUCCCUGUUAUCGUAGAUUCAAGAUUAACAAGUAAAUUAAUAAGUAAAACACAAAGGAAAUAGAAUUGUCAUCAAAGGGGCAUUUAGUAAAACGAUGAAGAUGUCUCAGGAUAAAUGAACUAGCAAUUAUAGAGUAGCUAAUAGAACAUGUAAAAACCUGGUAUCUGUGAUGAAAAACAGAUCCAUGACUUUGCCAUCAGGUGUAGUGGAAACCUUAACUUUGGUAAUAAUAAGCUCUAGCUCACAAAGAACAGCUGUAACAUCUGUCACCGUUAAAAAUAAGACAUGAGAUAACAUAACUUCAAAUCAUAAAUAAUCAUCAUAUCUUGGAAAUGUUGCAAAAUUCUGGAAGAAUGUAUGUAUCUUAAACCACAGAUAAUGAAGCUUCAAAUUGUAUGAAUGCAUUCUAGAAUAUGACAUCAAUGACCGUCUUACGGAAACCGGUUCACUUUCCUAUUUGCAUGAUUUUCUUAACAAUCAAAGUGAACCAUGCAGUUCUUUUACCAUUUUGCCAAACUAGUGAGAACGAAGCGGGAUCACUGUGACCAAAGAUUGAAGAUAGAUGAAUUAAGACUUGCAGAUAUGAAAAACAAAAGUACCAAAAAAAGAAAAUAACAAACCAACAGAAACUAACUGCAGGGUCUUAAUUCAUCAAUCAUAGGGCCGUAUCUGAGGCAGGGCGAAGAGGGCGACCGCGCUAGGCCCAAAAAAAUAAGUACGAAAUUUGGGCCCCCAAUUUUUUUAAUAGGGGUCUAUUAGGCCCUAAAAAAGUUGCUUAUUUUUUUGAAUCAAGUUUGAUGCUUGAUAGUUGCUCUUCCUCCAUUUGUUUUUGCUCAUUCCCGUGCUACGUGAGCUAACUCACGCUGAAAAAUGCCUAACUCACGUUGAACAUACACUUACGUGAGUUAAUUCACGUUCGGCUUUUUUUAUGGAAAUGGGCAAUUCUAAAUGGGAGAAGAGCAAUUAUCUUGAUGUUUAUAUAUAUUUAUUAGUUAGGUUAGGACCCAAAUUGUAGGUUCUCCCUAGGCCACCAAAAUCUCAGAAACGGCCCUGAUCAAUCAUCAAGUUUUGGUCGGUACAAGGCUAGCAAAAUAACACCGGAGUUGAUGAAAGAAAAACCACAGCAUAUCAAGAAGCCUCAAAGUCUUGAUUCUCGUACUUAUAUCAUAUUUUGUUUAUUGCUAAACAAAUUGAUAUCAAGAAGGAAGUCUUGGACUAAUCAGUAACUAGUAGUGUCUAAAUUCUAUCAACAAGAGUGAGGUGAAACAUGCAUGUUUGGAUUUGCGUGAGUUUGAGAAAAUCAGUAUGAGCCACCAUGAUUUUGCAAAAACUACACUUUGGAGCUUCAAUAAAACCACGGUGCCACUGCGAUUUUCACAAAAUCGCUUUGAUUCCAAACAUGCACAUAGUGUAUGAUUGGCUCCACUUUUGGUGGAGUCAAACUUGAUUCUCGAGUGGAACUUAUUUUGCAUCUAAAAUUGAUUCUAACUUCAAACACUUUUAAUCAAAAUCAAUUAUACAUACAUAAUGAAAUAAUCAAUUUUGUCACUGCAUAACCAAACACACACGCAGACUUCAAACAUCUAUGUUCAGUUUCCAAAAUUACCGUGUAAUAGUCCUUUUCGAUCAUGACAGCAAAAUUUCAAAAGGAAAACAUCAGGAACCUUAGGUGGCUGCAAAUCAGUGCGAUAAUAUGAUAUUCCAGAAGCUGAGGAGCAAGUAGGACAUGCUUCAACCAUCCUCUUCUUCAACAAACUCCACCUUGUCUUCUGUUUCCCAACCACCCAAAAAACUAUGUAACACCACUUUCCAUCAGUUGACACGUCUUCAUUACCACACAAAAAACAACAAAAAACAAAAAAUUGUUAUUCUUAAUGUCAAAUUUAUGAAAUUCACUUCAAAGCUAUUAAACACGGACACCAGACACAACACUGACGCAUCAACACUAAUAUAAUUGAGAAAAUGACGUGCUUCAAUGUAAUCACAUGUGUCAGUAUCGUGUGAGUGUCAGACACCGUCACCAGGACAUGUUUUCGGCGCUACAUAGCUUCAAAGUAUCAAACACAGAAACCAAAACAAACCCAUCUCUCAAAUUAAGUAAACUCAAAUACCCAUUUUUCAAAUUCAAAGAAAAAUGAAGAAUUAAUGAUAAAAAGUUGAUUUUUAAACGGAAUUCAAUCUAAAAAAUUUCCGAAGAAUCUUAAAAAAGAAAAGGGUAUUGUUAAGUUAUGUUACCUCCUCUAACAAUGUUAAGACCAAAAAAGAGUAUGAUACGACACAAGUCACAACCAAGACCAGUUUUGUCAGGACAAUUUACGGUAAUGACUGUUGGGUCACCUUCUUUCUCUGGUGGUCUCAUAAUAACUACAUCAUCGUAUAGUAUUCCCAUACUUUCUUUCUUCUUUGUUGUUGUAAUUCAAGAGGGACCAGUGUUUAGGAAGUUUGUGUUUUGUUACAAUGGCUUGUGCUUAAAUUUACAGGUUGGUGAUGUUGAAUCUUUGUCGGAGAGAGAGAGAGAGGAUUGGUAUAAGAGAGUAGAAAGUAGGUAGUGAUAGUGGUAUGGUGGCGCCGGGUUGACUAGUGAUUGAUUUUUAUGGGCAGAUGCAAAGGUUUAUUACAGUGAUGAUUAAUUAAGUUAACAUGUUUAUUCUUUCUCAUCGUCAAAAAAAGAAAAAGUUUAUUCUUUUGUUUUUCGGGUAAGAAAAAGUAUAUUACUAAAAAAAACACAUGUUUUUGGUUCAGGGAAAAUACCACUCUCUAUGACAGUCUUCCAUAAAAUUUAUGAAAAUUUAUGAAUAAUAAUAAGGGUUAAUAGUGUUUUACCCCUAUUAUAAAGGUCAUUUUUAGUUUUAUCCUCUAUAAAAUAUUUUUUUUGGAUUUCGUCCUUGUAAUUUGAAGAUUUUUGGUUUUCGACCUUCAUGAAUUUUUACAGUAGAAAAUCGAAGAUAUGGCAUGGGGUAAACCGAAAUUUGCUCAAAUUAACAGGGCGUAAACCGAAAUUUACUCAAAUUACAAGGGGAGUAAACCUAAAUUUGCUCAAAUUACAGGGGGUAAAAUUUUCCAUGAAGGUCCAAAACCAAAAAAUCUUCAAAUUACAAGGGUGAAAUUCAAAAAAAAUAUUUUACAGGGGAAAACCGGAAUUGGUCCAUAUUACAGGGGGUAAAACACUAUUAACCCUAAUAAUAACACGGGGGAGAAGUCUUGCUUGGACACAUACCAACACUUCAAUUUUAGGCACGCACCACACAAAACCAAUAAAAAAUUAAAGAAAAAUAAAAUUAUAAUAUAGCAAUUAAUGUGACUAAAUACUUUUUAUUUAAUUUUGUUAGUUUUAUGUGAUAUGUGCCCAAAAUUGAAGUGUUGGAUAUGUGCCCAACCAAAACUUUCUCUGUCAUGCUAACUAUUAACUAAUGUUUAUGACAUAUUAGUUAAAAAAACCAAAAAGAAAAUUUGUGUACAUCUUUUAAGAUAAUUUUACCAUAUUUGAUUGGCAAUGAAUUUUAAUAUGGUCACAAGACCAAAUAAAUAGUAUUUAGGUACACAUAAUAAGAAGUAUUUUUUAAUAAUAAAAUAAAUAGUAUUUAGGUACACAUAAUAAGAAGUAUUUUUUAAUAAUAAAAAGGUGAUUGAUAAAAAAAAAAAGAGUGAAUAUUUUGAGGAGAAUCUCUGUAUACCUCUUGUUGGAUACUAGUUAGCAUUUUCCUAAUAAAAAAAGGUGAAUGUUAGUUUGUGUCUUAAGAUACAAGGCAAUGAAUCCAUAUUUUGUUGUUAUUUGUGUAUUGAAUUUAAUUUUAAAUUUGUAAGAAAAAUUAAAUGCACUAAAUUUAAGAGUGUUUUUACUUUGAAUUUUUUAAUGAGAAAUGCUAUCAAUACACAUUUUAACAUACAUUUUUUAAUACAUUGUAUUUGAUUGAUUAAAAUUCACAUAAAUUCUACUAAAUUUAUAUGGGACUCACAUGAUUUGGUGAGAUCUUUGUAAAAUAUAACUAAUAAAAAAAAGUGUGCUAAAAAGUGUAUAUUAGAACGUGUAUUGCUAACAUUCCUUUUUUUAAUAUGUGCCCUUGAAAAAAAUAGUCAUAGUAAUAAAUUUGGAAGAAAAAAAAACAUUAAAAAUUAGACAAAAUUAUUCUUAAUGUAUCUCAACAACAUAUAUAUAAAAAUUUAGACAAAACUUUUGAAUAAUAUAAAAAUUUACAAAGAUAACUUAUAGAAUAUAAAAUUCAAUCCAGUAAUCAAUUUAUAAAACAUAUAUAUCAAAUUAUAACAUUAUUGAGCCGUGUAACUAUUUAAACACUAUUUUUUUUUAUGUGGUUGCUGCACCUUACAUAUAUUAUAUUAUGUAUUGUUUCUACCGACUUAACUAUCUAAACAUACACAAACAAAUACAAAAUAUAUUAUUUAAUUAUUUUCUCUUUUUACAUUGUUUUUUCAAAUAAAUAUAUGUACUAAAAUCAAGUAAUCGUGACCAUGGAGAAUUUCCUUCUAAAAAUACUUUUCUUCUCCCCAUGUUUUAAGGAGAGUAGUUCAUAACAUGCUACUUUCCUCGCGUCUUCAUGUUUAGCUGUGUUUGGUAACACAAAAUAGUUAGUUUAUAGCUUAUUGAACUAGCUUAUAAGUUUGUUUUGAUAAAAUGAGAUGUGUUUGGUAAAAAACUUUUUUCACUAGCUUUUAGCGUUUUUUAAGAAGCUAAUCCAAGUAGCUUUUUAGCUUAUAGCUUUUAGCUUUUUAUACUUUCUUCCCAUUUUAACCUUUUCUUAAUUUUAUUUUAUUCUUAAACCAACCAUGUUUACCAUGUAUGGUUUUUUAAAUUUUCUUGUCCACUUUUUUUUUUUUUUUUUUACUUUGCUCAUAAUUCAUAUAAUAUAUAAUUUUAUAUAGAAUUUAUAAUAGUGAAGCAAGUUUAGUUAAAUAAAAUUCAUAAAAAUAAAAUAAAAAUGGUUAAAUAAAAAAAUUUCGAUUGAAUUCAUAAAUAUAUUUAUUAUUUUGGAGAUGAAAAUAAUUUGAAAUAUAUUUAAAUAUUUAAAAAUAAAUGUGUUAAGUAAUAAAAAUUAUAUAUAUGAUAUUAAAAAAAAUUAAACAAGCAUGUGUUUUUAUGUCAUUUUAUAUUUAUAGUCACUUCAACAGUUAAUUUUACCAAACACUUUUAAUUUUAAUCAGCUAACUUUUCAGCUAUAAGCUAUCAUCUAUCAGUCAUCAGCUAUAAGCUAGCUUUUCAGCUAUCAGCUAUCGGCUAGCUUAUAGCUUUUUUUUACCAAACACACCCUUUAUCUCCAACAAACAUUAUUUGUUGUCUUUUUAUUUUUUUUAUUUUUUUAUUUUAACAAGUAAACUAGUUGCUAGAAAUCUAUUUCACUAUCUUUUAUUUCUAUACACUCUUGAUCUAAUUGAUUUUGAUUUAUUUUUGAACUUCAAGGUGAAGGAGGAAAGAGUUUAAUCGUAUGAAUAUUAUGUUUCAUCUCACGUAUUUAAAUUAUGUUUCAAACAUAGUAUAUUAGUUUAUGUCCCUAAACUAUUUUCUCCUCUACUAUAUGGUUUUCUUAAUAAAAAAAAACCAUCUCUUAUCUCACUUCAUUUCGUAUCUAAGACUAAGCUUAAGCCAUUGAUAUCAAGAAUCUACAAUCGAGCAUCUACCCUCGAUUCGAAUCUUGUCAAAAUGGAAUAAAUAAACUAAAAUAAUUGGAUAGAAAAUAAAAUAACUACUAAUUAAUUAAUAAAAAACAAGUGUGUCAUUUUCAGCAAAGAUGUCUCUCACGUGAGUGGCAGAAAGUGUUAAUGGGGGAUUCAAGAAAGGUUCAUUUCUAUUGUACCUACCAAAAUGAAAUUAGGUAAAAUAUUUGCAGUAUAUUCACACAUGGAUUCGAUUCCAGUAUCCUCACCCCACCUAAUUUUGCAGCUCUUCUUGGCUUCUUCUGUUUUGUGUUUCAUUCUUUAUUGUCUUCUAUAACAACAUGCAAUACAAACAAAAAUUAUUGCAUUUUGUUUGUUUUUAACUUUUGUCAAUUCACACUGUUUCAUGCAUAGAUGCUUGUAGCAUCUCAAAGCAUCAUACAACUCGACUUUGUAAGUAUCUUCUGUAAUAUAUGUAGAUAUUUUUGCAAAAUAAAAAAAUAUCAAUUUCAAGAUAAAUUUAAUUAACAAGAUUAUAUUGUAUAUUAUUAAAAAUAUAUUAAUAAAUGAAAUACGCAUAUUUAACAAGAUCAUUACAUACACAUGCGUUCAAUUAUAUUUCAAGAUGUAUAUUUAUGAGAUGUUUUAGAAACAAUAUAACACAUAAACUUUAAUCCAUAAAAAUUUGAAUGUACAUAAUUAAUGAAAAUUUGAUCAUCGUAUAGAUUAUGUGGUUAGUUUAACAUAUAUUUUGUCUAUGGAUGACACUCCAACUGAUAUCCUAACUAAAAAGAGUGAUCUAAAUGAUAAUAGUCUUAUUAUUUUAUAUGAAGUUCCUCCUUAUAUGACAUCUAUCCUCUUAGCAGAUGUUAUGAGCGUUGAAUUUAUUCGACCUUAAUUUGUGUCGUUUUCUUGUUUUUUCCUUCUUCCUUUUUGUCACCAAAAAAACAUAAACUUUUUUAUGUGAUGAGAUAGAUAGAUGUAUGUAUAGAAAAAAUUAUAUUGUUAUAGUGUAAGAUAUAAUUACCUUUUCGGAUCUAUAAUAAUAUUAACAAUUAUUCAAUUUACUAUAUUAGCAUAUAUUAUAUGUUGUCCCUGUUGAGUUUAUCUCAUAACUUACUCUACUACCUCCGUCUCUAAUUAUAAGUCCAUUUUGAGGAAAAAAUUAUCUUUCUUUUAUAAGAUCCCUUUGAUAUUUCCAAGUAUAUUAAUUAUUUCUUUACCAACAUACCUUUAUUUACUUUGCAUCUUUUUCUUCAAUCAACAAUAAAUAUUAUAUUGAAAACAUAAAUUAACUCUCUUUUAAGGAUAAAAUUGUAAAAAACAAUAGUAAUUAUAUACAAAUUUAAUACUACAAUCAACUUUCUUAAUCUCCGUAAUUUUUGCAAAAAGCUCCUAUAUUUAGGGAGGUAGUAUCAAUUAUUUUAUUGGAGAAAACUUAGGUACAUUUCGUGCUUUUGUAUGAUUCUUAACUAAAAAUACAUAUUUUUUGAAUAUAAAAAACUUUGAGAAAAUUAUGGAUUUAAGGAAAUCAUGAUGAAUUUAGUUAAAAACCAUACGAAAAGCACAUAAGGAAUUGUGCCCUAAGUUUUCUCCAAUUUUAUUUUAUUUAGUUCAAAUUACACUAGUGGCCAAGAUCUUCAUUAUUUUAAGCAAAGUAAUAAUUAUUAAAGGCUUGAAAAGAAAACACAAGCACAAUAAUAAUAAGGGACACGUACUUACUCACAAUUAUCUCUGUUUGAUGUGCAUCAAGUUGGAAUAUACCAUGAAUCAGUAUUUGAAUCUAAACAUAGCAAAAACGGGGAUUCCUUCUUAUGUCUCAUGGGAACCCAACCAAAGCAUAGUUACUCUUGUUGAUAAUACUAGUGAGGGACCGAUUAACACUAAUACGUGACAUGUGUAAAACUAUGAUGAUGGAGACAUUUAAAAAGUUAAGAGGGUUUUAAACACAUGGGGAUGGAGUUAGAGAUGAGCAAACAUAAUUUGUCUUUAUUUUGCUGUGUUAUUUACUUUGGUUAAAUAAAGUUGUUGACUUUUUGUCCAAUAAUUUCUAGAUUGGGCAAUUAGAUUCUUGUUGAUAAGAAAGAGAUAGCCCACCUAGAAGUGGAAAAGUAUUCUCUCCCGUGAGAAAUCCUCAUGUCUCUCAUGUGUGACAAUUCAAGACAUUAAAUUUUAUUUUUGAUAUUUUAAAAUUUUUUAUCUUUUAUUUUUUAAGGCUCAAAUUUCAUUUGUCUAUCUUUUUACUUGAGAGAAUCCAGUUCCGCUAGAAGUAGUGAUGAACAUAACGUUUCAUAUUUGAUUCAAGAGGACUUAAAUACGAUGCGCUAGCCGAAAAAAGAUAAUAAUUCAAUUAAGAUAAAGGAAAAAUCGCAGUCGAAAAUAUCUUUUUCUCUCAACUCUCGCUAUGUUAGAGUUAUGUGGUGAUGGAUCCUUUAUGGAUGUAAACAAUAACCUUUUUAUCUUGAAGUCAAUGUCAUAUAGAGAUACGAAACACAUACUCUAUACAGACCCAUGGAGUUUUGACUGAAAUCUAUUGAUCUUGGAUACAAUUUUGGGUCAUAAACAUUUGUCAGAACUGGAUCUACACAUUGUCCCUUUUUUGUAAGAAUAUAUUAACUACCUUUAAGAUUGAGAUCAAAGAUGAUGGCAAAGAAGAUUGGUAAUCUAGAGAGAAAGUUCCUAGAAGUUGAUCAAUGAGCUACCGACAUAAUGGAUAAAUUGUUACACAUUAAGGGGGAUAUCGAUAUGAGGAAUCCUCUGAAGCGUGGGUCAGUGCUGAAAUAUUGAAGUAGAACAUAUGGAUCUUAUUUAAAUACGAACGUUUGCCAAACUUUUAUUACAAAUGUGGAAGGAUUAGACAUCAAAUGAAGGGAUGUUAGGAGGAAUCAUGGCAAGAUGGUGAAGGGAAUAAUGAUGUUAAAGAGAAGGAAAAGGCCUAUGGUUCUUGGACGAGAGCUUCCCCUAUUCUAAAGAUUCACUUGGAGAUAAAGAAGGAACUAAACUCAUUAACAUGUAGUAAGUCAUUCUUUUCCUCAACUAGUACGAGCAACUGUUCUAAAGCGGGGAAUGAAAAAACAUCAAAGGAGUUGUUGUUUAAAAGAAAAGAGGUUCCUAGCUCUAAAAAUCCUAGUAGAGAGGCAACUACAUAGAGUGAGAAGAAAAAGAAAAAUAGAGCUAUUAAAGGGGUUGCUGAAACCAUAUGUUCACUUUCCACCAAAUUACACAAAUUAGGUGUAAACCACGAGGGCUACACAUUGUAAGAGGCAUCACACUCGGUUACAACUCAUCAAAAAAGAAAAGAAAAUUACAAAGUUAGUUAGACUUGAUUUUCUGCUUCUUCUUAUUCAUCAUCUUCCUCGUCAAAGCCAUCGGGCACUACGAGCAGGCCAUCCUUCGUUUCCUUCAGAAAAUGGACCACCUUGGUGUUAAGCUCGACACCAAGAUUGAGUGCUUUCAUCUGGGUCGCUACAUUAUUGAAGCCAUAAGGGGUGCCUACAAUGAAAUCUUGUUGAACCUCCUCGAUUUGGCGAUGAGUCCAACACGGUCCAGUCCAGCCAAAUCCUCAAGCUUGUUAUGUCCUCGAGCUUCAGCUUGCUCAGUGGCUGUUCUCAACGCAGAUUCUAGAUCCUUAUUCUCAAGUUCAAGCGCGGCAAUUUUGCUCGCCACCUCAUCUGCGGGCUUACAAACAUAUUCAACUUCCUCUAGCUUUUUCUUCACGGCUUCAAUCUCCUUAUCCUAGUUAGCACAAUUUUGAUCAACCUUAACCAAAUCCCGUGCUUGUCUUUAUAGUCAGCGAAGUCGUUUUCAAGUUUGGCGACUGUGGCCUCAAGGACCUGCUUCUCCCCAAUCAAACCAUCAUUCCUAGCCUUAAGCUCGCUAUCAGAGUCAUUCAAAGCCAAUGCCAUGCUGAGAGCUUUCAUCUCCCCUAACAAACCCUUCGUCAUCGCUCAACCCCGUUGUAACGCCCUAUUUCUAUUAAAGCGGUAAAACACGCGAAUAAAACAUUUAUUCAAGAAAUAGACGCUACGUCAUCAUACAAAAUUCAAAUUCAACAUGCAUGCAUAAGAUCUCAACAUUCGCAGCGGAUAUAUAAACCAUAUACAUCGAAGUAUACAUGACAUGAUAUAAAAAAUACAUCAGCAUAAAUGUUCACCGAGUUCCAACAAAGGGUAAAUCUCCAACAUGAAUAAAUUCAAACACAAGAAAUCUAGACCAACAUAAACAGAUGCCUAGAUCAGAGUCAUCCUAGACUCUACAAACACCGAUACCGGAGAUAGCUCCCAAUAUCCAACCAAGCAUCAAUCAACUCACCGGAGCAACUGAUCUUGCACAACAUCUACCCAUCCAUACAGGCAGGUAGGCGGUCAAAACCACUGGGGUAAGUAUUACAUCAUCAUAAUCCACAUGACAGUUAAACAUGAAUAAAUAAUCCAAAUAUCAUGUACUUAACCAAUAAUAAUAAUAUCCACAUAUAUACAUACUCAUACCAUAAUACUAAUAUCUUACAUUAAGCAAUCACCAAUCACAUGUGUCAUGAACAAUCAUCAAUCACAUUUAUCAAAUAGACUCAUGUCAUGAUAUGCACCUAGUUUGACACAUAUAUGCAUGUGGUACCAACUCACUUCAAGGGCGUCACCUAUAUCUAGACCACCAAAGGUCUCUGCAAGGCCGAAGCCCACAAUCUAGAUCACUAAUGGAUCUCUGCAAGGACAAAGCCCACAAACUAGAUCACUAAAUGAUCUCUGCAAGGCCGAAGCCCAAUGAUGCAACAAAAACAUCAUAUAAAAUCUCAACACGACUAUGAUGCAUGAACAUGUAGUAAAGACUCGAUAAUGCGACACCACCUCACAAUUUUCACAACAAUAUAGAGGACAACUUCCAAAUAUAUUGAUCAUCUCCAAAACAAUUGUAUUAUCAAGAAAUUACAUCCACACAACGAUCAAGACAUAAUUCAAAUAAGAUUCAUUAUCACAUCAAUAAUCAACCAUAUCAUUCAACAUCAACUACCUCAUAUAGUUUCAUCACUCCAAUCAUUUCUCAUAUUCCAAGUAAGAGAACAUACGACAUCUUAUGAUAAAUAUCAUAUCCAACACAUAACAAUUCAUUCACACAUCUCCAUUUAGUCAUACAAGGCUAGUCACGAAAGAUCAUAAGAUAAUUGGCUUAAAAGAACCAUUUCCGAUAAAACCGUAUCAAGUGGCAAACGACCAACUUUGAUAACUCUCAAGUAAGGUAACGUAAUCAAGUUUGAAAACUAAUACAUCAAUCUUAAUCAAUCAUGUAGUCAUGAGCUUAAGCCACUUACAAACUAUUAGACAUUAGUUCAAAGAAUAGCUUAAGUCCGUAUGAGAAAACCCAAGUUCACAUUUUUCACAUUCCCACCCGAAAUAUCACAUUUGACCUGAUUAAGACGUUUGACCAACCUUACAAGUUUUACCUAAAUCUAUAUGAGCUGUAGGCUCAACUCGUAAGCUCAAUUAGUUUGCAAAAGUUUGUUUUCGACAAAAUCCUAAUUUCCCAAAAAUGUACAAGUUUCAACCGAAAACGGAAAAUUUCAAGUUGAAAGAAUCAUUUUACAAUGCUCGGAUUGGCUCCCUAAGACUCGGAACGAAGAAUCAAAGUGGCUGAAACUGGGCAUGUUUGCUUAAGUGACCACCUGGUUCGCUUAAGCGAACAAGUUUCAGUAGCCACCUGACAGGUACACUUACUGGUCGUUCAUCAGUUCGCUUAAGCGAACGAGUUCCAGUAGCUACCAGUAAAGUACGCUUACCGGUCGCUUGCAGGUUCGCUUAAGCGACCUGUACCCAGAACUCACUAUGAUGAUUCGCUUACCGGUUCGCUUAAGCGACCCCUUAAGCGUACAUUCAUAGUUCUGCAGAAAAUGUUACGGGUUUCAACCCCUUUUUACCCAAAAUCCCCAAUUUUGAUCUCCCAAUGUUCAAAUGUGUUUCUAGAGAGAUUGUUUUCAGGUCAGUAUAACUAAAAUGACCCACAAGGACACAACAAACAUGAAAACAAAUAACAUUUGAACCAAUUCAACCCAUUUUACAAAGUCACCAACAACAACUCAUUUCUCAUCAAAAAUCAUGAAUUAUGCACACCCAAGCCAUGAAUUAUCAAUAACAACAUCACUUAACAACAACUACACCAAUUGAACAUGAAUCUCAGCAUAAUUCAACCUCAACAUAUCACAAAUUGACAUUUAGAGCAUGAUAUGACAUAUAUCAUUUCCAUAUACUUUGAUCAUUCAAUUUCACCAAUAACAAAUCAAUUAUCACCAAUUUCUUACAUUCAAACAUAACAUCAUAAUUGGAGCACGAAUUCUAACAGUCAUGAACAAAUAAUCAAUUACUCAAUUAAGCACUUAUUCAUACAACAAUUGAAAAUUUACACUAAAAACGAUUAUGAUAAAUUCUAACCCCCUUACCUUAAUUAUCUCCAAUUCCUAGCCCAAGCUUCACUUUAGCUCCUAGGAUCUCUUCCAAUCUUGAAUCUUCAAGCUCUUCUUUUCUCUAACCCAUUUUCCUCUUUUCCUUCACUUUCUCUCUCUACCUCUCUCAAAAUAUCUUAUGUAAUGAAAAUUGUGUGAUACUUUCUCUUAAAGAUAACUUUUAUAUAGUCUAUUCUCUUAAUGGGCUUAACCCUAAACCUUAGUGGACUUAACCCACUCCAACUCAAUUCUAAAAUGUUUCUACAGUCACAACGGUAAAAUACUAUUAACGAUCACUUAACGGUAAAAUACUAAUUACUACACUAGUAACUUAGUAAAAUAAUGGUUCUCACUAAAUGCUAAAAAUAAUUCUCACUAAAAUUACUAAUUUACCCCUCUAGCACGAAAACCCGUGAAAAUGCACCCAAUGAUGAAUAUUCACACACAAGCACAAUUAAACACAUAAUAAAAAUAAUUAUAAUAAAUCUAACGAAAAUCGGGCUGUUACACCCGUCCCACGAGCCCAAUGUCGUUGAUAAUCGUAGGAUCAGUGCCACACAAUGUUAAAGUGACUUGAUCGUGGAACUUAUCAACAUUCGAUCAGACACUCAACGGUAAAAAAAAACUGACCAUUUGGAGUCUGGACAACACCUUCAUUGACUUGGGGACCCUUUCCUUGAGAAGAGGCAACAUACUUUGUCCUUCUUAUAAAUCAUUUUGCAAUUAUAGGAAAGAUAAAUUAAAGAUUCGAAAGAAUAUAAAGUAAAAAAUAGUUGAGGGUAUAGUGGAAAAAAUAACAUUUAAUGUUUUAUUGGUAUUAUAAAAUGACUUAUAAUUUGAAAUAAAUUUUCUCUUCAAAACGACUUAUAAUUUGAGACGGAGAAGAGUAAUAUAAUAUUGAGUAUUUUCUUGUUUUUUAGGGGAACUAAUACUAGAAAAAGUUAAUAUUGACUAUAAGUAGCUUUGAUAAAUUAAUAUGAGGGCCGGUUGCUUUGUCGGAUAACACAGGUGGGACAUGACCAAACUGGCCACCGGCGGCGGCGGUGAACUAACAUAAUUACAUUAAAGAGCAUGCACUUAAGACACCACGUCUUCUCUUCUAGUUGUUUUUUUUUUUUAAACAUUCAUUUCAAAAUCCAUGCAGGUUAUUUUAUUUAGGGAUGCACUUGUUAUUUAAUAAUAUUUAGAUGAGAUGACAUAUCUCUUUUUUUUUUUUUUUUUUGAAGGAAUAUCUCUUUUAUAAGUUAACAAAUAUCUCAAGUUUAAAUCCAAUUUUUUUAAAGAAGUUUAAAUCCAAACUUAUAACUAUACUAGUAUAUACUCAUCAAAUUACUAUACAAGACCAUUUAUUUAUAAUCGCUUUUAAAAAUACCUAUCAUAUCCCAUUGAAAAAAUACCUACCACAGGCUUAUUCUUAUUGCAGGUAAAAUUAUUUUACAUUCACUGUUCAUGCACUAUUUUCUCUUUUAUUUAAUUAACAUACAGAAACGGUGGAAUUCUUUCUGCCUUCUAGCCUAAUUAAUACUAUAUUAUACAGCCAUGUUAAAGGAAAACUGUAUUUAUAUCAAGGUUGCAUUCAUGAUUCAUGGAAAUGUAGAACACUUCCAAAAUAGAAAAUAAGAAAAAAGAAGAUGCAUAUUUCUAGGAGCAAGUUUUGGUGCGCUUAGACAUAGUGAUGGAGUGGGUGGAUACGGAUUCCAUAGAAUCUAUCUAUGAGAUACUAAAAUGUAUUAAAGUAUUCAGAAAGCCAACGGUGCUUAUUCAAACUCAAAUUAUAAAAAAUAACAACAUGCAAAUAAAAUAUUCAUGAUACUGUGUUCUCCAUAAAGAAAUAGUGUUGAGCAGACUAAUUAUAUUUUUUCAUGUAUAAAUAAUGAAUGAUCUGCUUGGCCUUUUUGGUGUUGAAAAGAACGACGCAUUAUAAUAGAGUUUCGCACAUUUUAUUUGACAUGUUGGCUGUCGAAUUUUGAAUUGGAAAUGGGUUCGACGGUGUUAGUGGUUAGUCUCACAUCGACUAUGAAUUAAAUGUGUUGAGUAUAUAAGAUGUAAGUCAUAUAGACACAUAUAUUUUUAUGAUUUUGGAUGAUGAUAUAAUAUCAAUAGCCCUUGGUAGUCAUGAUUGUUAGACCCAUUGUUUCCCCAGCUCAAAUUUGAAGCUUCUAUGGCAAUUACAAUCGAUUUUGUUCUGUGUAGCUCUCACACAAAUACACCAUUUUAUCUAUUUACCAUAAUUGCCCUUAUAAACUCCUUGUAUUCUUGAAACAUAUUACUCUAUAAUUUUUAGUUUUAAAUACAAUUGAAAAUAAUAUUUUGGUCACUACACAUUCAAAAUUAAUUUUGAUUCAAGUCAUCCAUACAAAACCAAACCAAACCCAUACUAAGUGAUGUAAGCUUCUGAAUCCGAGUUGGUUUCCUACUAAUAAAAAACAUUGGUCUGCUCCAUGUGGUGGAUCUCUUCAUUAUAAAUGAUCUUAUAAUUGUAUCCCCAAUUUUUAAUUUGUUAGAUUUUGAUCAAAUCAUUAAUUUGACCAAGAAUAUACGUAAAUUUGUUGUUGAUGUGGAUGAGUUCACAUGGAGCAGAUGAUAUGGAUAAGAAACACUUGUGUGUGAGUACACGUGAACACGAGAAGAAAGUAACAUGUGAACCAGGAAUCUAAUGAUAUCUUAAGAGCUCAAACACCAUUAAGUCAAUUUGCCAACUAACUAUCUUUGAUUAAAUGGAUUAAAGAUGUAAAAAAUUUCUAAAAAUUUUAAAGUUAAAAAACUUUAAAAAAUUGAUAAAUUAGAAAUUGAUUUUGAAUCUUAUGUGAUGUUGAUCAUGAAUGAUGACAAAAUUAUCAACUUUAAAGCUUGCCUACUUUCUAUUGACAAACAAGGAAACACCGGUAUUAAAUUUAGUAUUGUGAAUUCCCUUCUCAUGUAUCGAUCACUCACCACAAGGGUUGCUCACGGUCAUCCUCUUUUUUACAACUUCAUGUUAUAGAGUUUGAGUUUUUCAAAAUUGAUUAGAGGUGGAUCUCAAACUAUGGUUAGUGUUGCUAAGUUGCGAUGAAGGAUGACGACAAGCGCCCGAUACAGCGAGGUAUACCUACAAAUACUCAAACGCUCAAGUCAGUGGAAGAUUAAGGUGACUGAGAGGUGUGAGAAUAACGUGUAUCUUUCUCACGAGUACAAGUUAUUCACACACUAACCAACCCCUAGUACAAGUUAUUCAUACACUUGCCAACUAAAAAUAUAUGUUGGCUUAUCAAGUAGCCAACCGUAAUAAAUCAAUUUGAAUUGCAACCUUCCCAUUACAAAUAUGAUACAAAAAUUGUUCUCCCUUCCAAAAUUGAUCAUUCCCUUAUAUCAACGACAGUUAACUGCCGCUUCACAUCUUUCAGCGGCAAUUAACUGUUUUGCAAGCAACUAAAUACACACAACACUCCAUACAUGUUUUAAUAUCGCCUGCAUAAGUGUCAACAUCCCAAAUCCUCCUUCUCUUUACCUGGUUAUUCUCCCCUUUAUGCCAAAGAACCUCAGCAUCAACAACUCUAAGUGAGUGCUUGUUUUGGAAGUGGGAAUAAAGUAAAGUGCAUCUACACAGAAGCUACAAAUAGUAGCUUCUCCAUUUUCACUGUGAAUCACUCAAACGUGCGGCGGCAGUGAAACAACGCAAAACCAAACAUACCAUAAAUGACUUUGGCAGAGCGUGCUCUUGUUUUAUCAAAUCUGACCAAUAUUUUUCAGUAAAAACAUUACAGAAAGACUUGGAACAAAACAGUCCAUCAACAGAGAGAAAAAAGUCCUCAUGAUGUUGCUCAAACCUUCUUCACUAACAACCUUUCAUUGAACAUUUCUUCUUUUCUAAAUUAAGCCUCAGUUUAAUCACUCCCGACUUUUUUAGUGCACUAACCAAUUUUAAUUAUUUUGCAACAAACAAUUUAAUAUCACCAAAACACAUACAGAUUAAAUUGUAACGAACCUCUAUUUCUAAAUCCCAAGUCUUCCCUCUGUUCACCAAGAUUGCAAACUGACCUAAAUGUUCUUUAGCAUUGCAGCAUAUCACAGUAUGUAAACAAAUCCAUUUAAACGUCACAUCCCACUCAAUAGAGUAAAACAUAAUGAUUGACUAAUUCUUCAUCACAAAUUCCCACAACUUUCCACCUCCAAAUCAGUUACUACUCAGUAAUUUGGCUUUAAACAAUCUAUAUACAGACACCAAUAAUUUGAUGCUGAAUGAUAUCACUGCAAAUAUUUCUGCCUAAGGAAGACCUUACUUGAACCAACCCACCUGUUAAAAUUCUAUAUCAAUCUUUUGCCAAACAGGCCUCCCCUUCCUUCACCAUAAGCACUUGCCAUCUACUUCAAAAUCAUGUUUCAAAUAAUUUAUCACUGCUUUGCACUCCUCUUGCAAUAUGUUCUACCCAUUGAAAUAGCUCCCUCCAUCUCCAAAGUCACUCUCAUUUACCACCCACAAUAGAUGGUUAAAACAUUCCCUUAGAGUCAUACUACCCAGCCACCCGUCUCCAACCAACUUUCUUAGCCUUUGUGAGAACCAAUUAUGUUGGUAUGGUCCCUCCCUCUUAUCUACAUCAAUUAAAUCCCUCCACCAGCUAGAACUUCACCUCCAACUCCAAAUGAUCACCUCAUUUUUGUGAGUCCUACUUUUGUGAUAAUAAGUCAAACCAUAAACCUCUUUUUUCCACUCUUAAUCUCUACAACUGCCUCCCUAAUAAAGACAAAUUGAAAACUCAAAUCAUUAAUCCAAAGAGUUGUUCUCACUUCCUCACCCCUCCCCCACAAAAAAUCAUAUAACAAAGGUUUCAUCUGUAAAAAUAACACAUACAGAUGCCCUGAAGAAAGAAAUGGAACAGACUGUAAGGUCAAUAUCAGUUAAGUAGCAGCAAUUAGGCCAGUGGAUUUUGUUUUUCCUUUAUUUUAAUGGCACUGGAAUGUUUUAUACAAACAAGUCUCUUAUGUAGUAAAAAGAAAACAAAAGUGUCACGUGCUAUUGUUCACACAACUAUCCUCACAAAAGUGCAAAAUGAUCUUCCCUUUUUGGGAUGAUCGUGAAUAUGAAGGCCCAAUGUUAUAGAUUUUACAAGCAAAAAUUGAUAUUGAAUUGAUACUUAUCUUCCGAAAAAGGAAGAAAAAUAAUCAAAUGAAUACCAUCUUACACCAAACUACCAACUUGUAUUAUAUAAACGAUCUCAAGUAAUAUGAUGAUGACGAUGACAACACCAAUAUUUAUAAUAGAAGUUACAGAUAUGAACCAUCAGAUGCGAUCAUGUUUUUUUUUUUUCUUUCUUUCUAUCAAACCUUGUUGUAGAGGAGCUACCCCAGAUUAAUCCUGCUUGACAUCUACACUUCCAGGUUUAGUAGGUUCUGUAGGAGAUGGUCCAACACUUACCUCAUCCUGCUAUAACAUUGAGAUUUGUACUUAAGUUAAAUUAAUGUUAUAACAUUCGUGAAAGCUUUACACAUGAAAUCAUCAAUACAAUUGUUUGCAAGCAGGUACAUUCACCAACACAAAUAUUAUUCACCACAUGCAUGAUGCAAACGCACAAAACAAUUCAGCAAACUUCAACAAAGACAGCCAAAGGAUCAAUAUCUGGUCGUUUGAAGAAUCACCCAUUUAUACAGAAUAUAUCUUUAAGAAGGAUAAAAUAAAAGACAAAAAACAGAUUUCUUCUCAAUUCAGAAUGUAUGUGACUUUCAGUAACACAAACCCUUGACAGUCAAAUGAAAUAUCAUAAUGGACAACACACAUUUGGAAAAGCCUAGACUUAUUCCUAAGGUGUCCAACUCCGUAACAAUCAUGUAUGAGAUGACAAACCAACAAGAUAAAAAUUAGGGGGAUGGUUUCCACUUCUAAUGCAGUUUUUGCCUUAUUAAUUUCACCAAUUAUAGUCCAGCGCCCAACAAAACUUAUGGAGCAUUUUCAAUUAUAAUACAACAACAACAAAGCUUUAUCCUAUUAGGUUACAUCGAUGAAACAAUGUCAUAAUGUUCCAUUGCAAAUCAUAACUAUAGUAAUAUAGCCAACCAAUUGACCUCGAAAUCUUACUUAACAAUUUCCUAUAACUUUUUUGGUCUUCCUCGGCCUCUAGUAAUUGGAUGGUCCUCAAUCUGAUUUACUGUCCUUACUAAAGAACUACAUAGCAUCGGCAUUUCAUACCGAAGGCGUUUUGGAUAGUCCUGGAUCACUUUUAUUUUCUUGAAUUGUUAUCGGCGUCAAUGUGUUGAUGUCGAGCCAUGCUUGGUGUUUGUAUCUACGACAGUGCUUAAUAGCUAUAGAAUAGAAUCUACAGGUCUCCUUCACACAUACCCAACCUACUUAAAUCGAAAUCGAAAUCUAACCAUAGCUUCUACAAUAGUUGCUAUCCCUACUCUAUCCAAUACUAUAAUGCUAUUGACAUAAAAGCCACAUAAUUGGUAAACAUUUCACAAAGAAAAUCAAAAUUGAAAAUUAGAAAUUAACUAACUUUAUUAAUAGUUUUGUUUGAAGGCUUGAUUGGACAUGCUGGAGGAACCCUCUCUGGUUUUCUAUACUCCCACCCAAAAGCCGCAUAGAUUUUCCCCUAAAAACACAAAAAUUAGGAUUAGUAAUGCAUAAUUAAGUAAAAUAAUCAUAAUGAAUAGUGGUGUAGUGUAAUUUACCAUUAGAAAAUCGAAGAGAAGAGGGAGAAAAUUAACGAUUGGGACGAGAAAGAGAGGCACCAAACAAACCAAGCAAACCUAUAACAACAAAUUCAAUUUGGUUUAUUCAUCAAAAUUAAUGUUCAAAAAUUGAAUAAUACAAAAUCGUAGAUCAAAGAAAUUAUUACUAUUCUACCAUGUUGUGAUGAAUAAUGGAUGCAAAAAUCGAUGAAGAAGGUUGAUUCAGUUGCGAAACGAUGAUGUUGUAAUUUUGAAUCAAAACGCAGGGUUUUUAUGUCGUUUUGAGUUUGGCCCAAGAAAGAAAAUAAAAGAAAUAAAAAAAAUCCGACCUACCGGAUUCGAACCAGUGACCUAAGGAUGUCUGUUGACCAACUACAGUCCUCCGCUCUACCAACUGAGCUAAGGUCGGUUGCUGAUUAAUCUCUCAUACACAUGAUAAAUAUAACAAAGGAGUCUUUCACAACAUUUUCUUACUAGUUAUGGUUCAUUUACAAUAUUGUUAUUUUUAUUUCGGGGAUAAAUAUAUUAUGUCAGCCACUAAAGUGUAAUAAGGUGAUCCGUUGAGGUUGCUUCUUUUUGCUAUUUUGUUGCAACCUAUUAUUCAUAAUAUUGGAGAUGAUUGUGAGUUUCUUCUUCAUGUUUGGUAUCUUAAUGAUGGGACUGUAAUGUAAUAUGGAUUUAGAUGAGGUGGUUAAAACACUUGACAUCUUUUAAGACAUGGGCCUAAGAUUAGGUCUUGAAUUGAAUAUUCAUAAGAGUGAGAUCUUUUGACUUUCGUGUGAUAAUAAUAAGCAUCAUGUGGAGUUGUUCCCUUCAGACAUUGGGAGGCUAGUUUUAGAGUGAGAUCUUUAACUUGGUUAAUUUACCGCACAUGUUGCCGUUAGCGUUAAUAAGGAUUUCUAAAUUCAGUUUCUUAAAUCAUAAGUAGACACCACAUAACAAAUGUUUUACUAAGUUAAAUCCAACAAAGACGAAGGGGAAUUCAAGGAUUCCUUAAUCAUCGUUAAACCUCUGAAUCACAAACAUAAUCUUGCAUUGGGCAGGACAAUUAAACUAUGUAACCCUUUUUAAUCUCUUUUAAUUUUACUCUUUAAAAUAAGUUUUGCUAAUAGCUAAGUUGAACGACAAUCCCUGUAGAGAACAAUAAACUUACUACUUUAUUACUUGUUACGGUUUGGUGCACUUGUCAAUUUCGUCCAUCAUGGGGUCACCUUUUUUGUUUCAUAAAUCCCCAUCAAAACGUUCUUGGUCUUUAACAUGUAACAAAUCUGGACGUCCGCAUAAAAAAGUAUUAUAUCUAUGGUCUGCUUAAACUUUUCCAUCAUAAAAAACAACUCUCAUUUUUCAUGCUAAACCUCACCCAAAUAUAAAUAUUUGAAGUUCCUACUUUAAAAUAUUUAAAAUAUAAACUAUCCGAUCUUGAUACAAAUUCAACUACCAAAAUGCAUGUCAAAUAUAAAUUCUUGCAUUUUCCUCAUAAUUUAUGAUGAAUUCUUUUUGGUUUUGAUAGAUUUUUUCUUGUUUACCUGUUUUUCACUUCUAUAUCUUUGCGUUUUCACUCACAUUUUUGUUGGGUAUGUAUAUAUGUUUGUUAUAUUUACAACGACAAAAAAACUACAAGUGAAUUUGUAUAACUUCACAAUAAAUUUGAGCAGCAUGAUUGAUUCUAUUGCAUUUUGAGUAGCAUUAAUUUGGGGUACUCUGGCACUGUCAUUUUUUCUAGCACUACCAAGAGCUUUCCCAUCAUGUGCUUGCUGACAUGACCACUGCAACAUUCAUCAUGAACAUAACAAUAGUAACAUGGUAACAUUAUAAAUUGACUCUAAAAAUAAACUUUAUAAAAUGAUGAAGAGUGUUCUUAGAACACCAUUUACCUUAAUGUCUCAAACCAAUUCCAAUACACUUAUUUUGAUUGGCCAUUUCAUUUUGCUUUUCAUUGGACAUUAUGCCAAAAGAGAAACAUUACAUAAACCAAAAAUCAUGCACACAAUUUUCCUAACUUAAUUUGUUGUGUCAAUGUUGCUUUUUCGCAACAAACCCCAUGAAAAAUUAAAAAAAUAACAACACAACAAAUAAUACUAGCAAAUUAUUUGGAGACCAAAUCAUCCCCAAAUUUAUUCACUUUACAAUAAAAAGAUUUAACCCCAACAUUCAGGUGUUAGUCUAUGGUCCCUUUUAGGAUCUUGGCAAUAGUUAUAAACCAUGUGGUGUCUUUGAACCCAACUCAUAGACCAAUGUUGUUGUCUUGUCAACCCACCGGACCGAUACGGCGAGGCCGUGGCCGGACGACACCAACGCGACGCAUAGGCUGUGCAACCACUAGCCUUGAAGUUUGUGUACUUUGCAACAAAAGGUUGGUACUUGUAAUCAGCUUUGUAUUUUCCAUCUUCUGUUGCCCAUGAUGAAGCAUCCCAAAUAGACCCAUAAACCCACAUUGGUCUUAGUGGAAAUGUUGCAUCACUCUUCCUUGGGUACCUCCUUAUGGGCAUAUCAUCCACUAGGAAUCUGUCACAUUGUUUAUUUAUAAUGUAAGUUAAAGAGAUAAUGGUAUGGUGAAACUAAUUUUAUAAUAAGGUAUGUGGUUGGCCAUAAAAAAACACAUGUAGAUCACUAGAUUAAUGUUACUUUUACAAGAGUUUGAUAUUGUAAUUUAAAAGGAUAUAUAUAGUUCAAAUUCUCAACUAUCAAAUUGUUAUUAUUGUCAUUUAUAAUUAGUAAAGGUUCCCCUUCAAUAUCAUGACCAUUAGAUUGCAAUAGAAAAUAAUAAUUGUUAUCAUUACAAUUUAGUAAGACAUGUUCCCGUGAGCUUAGCUCAGUUGGCGUAGACAUACAUAGUUAUAUGCAGGGGCACCCCUCUUAUUCACCUUGAAAAAAGUGAAUUUUAGCCACUAAACUACUUGACAAAAAAAAAAAAGAGUUUAGUAAGACAGAUCUCCAUCGUUUAUUAAUUUUAAAUAAUAAAUCAAUGAAAAAAAAGAUAGUACUUCUAUUAUCACCUUCUUUAAUUUCAAAGAAAAUGAUAUAUAUUUUUUCAAAGAAAAUGAUAUUAUUGGUUUACUUCCAUUUCAUCCUACAAUGUCAAUCAUUCGUGCAUACACUGUAGUAUUACCUAUAUUCUUUAAGAAUCAAACAAAUUAAUAUGACACAGACAAAGACCCAAGUUAUAUUAUUGGUUUUUUUUGUUACCAUCUACCCUAUUAUUAUGUUUCAGCAGAAAAAGAAAUGUUGGCUACCCUAUAUGCUCUACUAGCCCAAAAAUAAAGUCUAACCGAUUAAUUUGAGCAUUUCAUACGAACAUAUGCUUGUUUAAUUUGAGCAUUUCAUACAAAUUAAAAUAUAUGAUAAAUAAACAAAUGAAAUAGAAUGGUAAUUUUAAUAAAGUAUCCCUAUAAACUAUAAACUUGUGGUUAUUUCAAUUGUUAUAAAUACAAAAGUGAAAAAUAAUAUCUUAAACGUGAUAAACUUUUUGUGCAAAUGUGAUGGUUAUUAUACUACUUCGGUCUCUAUUGUAAGAAAAAAAAUUCAUUUUUUAAAUUUAUUUAAUAAAUGAUGUCUCUGAUCAAUAUUAAGUGAACUGUCUCUUAUAGUUGAGAUCGGUGAAAGUAGGAUCGAAAGAGUAUUAAUAUAGAGUGGAAAUUAACAGUGACUUACAUUAAUUCCUUAGGAUUCCAAACUAUAGCAUAGUGAUGAAAUUUUUUGGUAGGAUCAAACCACAGAUGAAAUUUCAUUUCUCUGCCUAUAAUUUUUCCAUCACCACUCCCUCUUAUAUAAACAUUUGUCUGCAAAGUAUAAGGCUUUCCAAAUGUUGUCCCUAGAAAUUCAAUGUCUACUUCAUCAUGAAAUCCUGGAUGUGCUUCAUUGUUAGAAAGCUGCAAUUAAUCAACUCAUUAGUAAAAUUUAUCACACUCAAAUUUUUUUAAAAAUGUUUAACCUUCCAUUAAUCAACUUCAUUUUUUUUAAUCAUGAUCAUAUCUUAAUCUUACAUAAAAAGCUGUUAUAACUCCUGCAGUGUAGCCAGGAUGAAGCUUAAUCGAAGCGCCAAAGUAUCCCGAUCGAAAUGGACGAUUCGACUUGAAUCCACUUCCUAUUAAUCAGAAGAAAAAAAAUGUAGUGUUACAUGUCAAUGAUAUAUUUUGUGCAUGCUUGAAUUUGCGAUAAAUUUCGCGAAAUCAAAUCGUGCCAUUGUAAUUUUUCCGGUCGAUAAAGUAUCUAAACUAAAGUGAAUUGAAACUAAUCAGAUUCAUACCUGAGGUUCUAUCAAGCCAAAUAGUUGUUCCAUGUUGAUCCAUGCUUUGGUGUUGAGGUCCCCAAAGGUUUCUAUAACCAUUGUAAAAGCUCAUAGACCUGACUUUGGAACUUGGCCAGUAACCGGGGGAAGGUGGCCAAUAGGCAUUGCUUGAAGAAGCCAUAAAGAAUAAACUAGCAAAGAGAAAUAUGAAAGGAAAGGCCAUGAAGAAAGGUAGGUAACUUAAAUUUUAAGCAGAAAACAAAAUGAUGCUUGUGUGUAUAAAUGCAGGGUGUGUGUGAGAGUGAUGGACUACUCAGUGAAAGGUGCAUAUGGAUGAAGAGUAUGGCAGUACAUAUUGAUAGUAGUAUAAAUAUAGAAAAUUAAUGGGUCCCUCUACAAUCGACAACUAUGAAACACCGGGAACGGCAAUGAGCUAAACGUUCAAGACCAAUAAGAGAGAUAGAAGCCACAUCUCGACCUAAAACCUUCAGACAUUGGGGAGUCCAAGGGCGGCAAUGGACUAAAUGUCCAAGACCAAUAAGAGACUUAGACACCACACUCUUACCCAAAACCUCAAGUCAACAGGGAUAUGAGUUUUCUCUCUUAUAUAUCUAAUGUUUCCUCCAUUCCUAGUCGAUGUGGAACAUAAUCACUCACACUUAAUUUUCCAACAUUAUACUCCAUCCGAAAUGAAAUAUAAGUAAAAAAUGUACUUGAGAAGUUGAUCUAUAUGGACUAAAUUUUUAACCAUAAACUUUUGAAUUUUCAACUAUCAUUUUUGUUUAUAUUUAUCGAUGAUGCUUACAUCAGACACACUUUUAAUUCAAAGUGUGGGUGCUGCAUAAACUCUAAAUGGGACUGAUUAUGCAAAUGAAGAAAAUUGAUGGGGUGAAGUAGAAAAUUAAGCUUAACAAUAAUCAAGUGUACUAUAGAUCAUUAGAGACAAAAAGGAAGAUCUUUAAUUGUUGUAUUACACUUAAUUAGACUUAAUUUGGAGGGUCAGUUGAAUUAUGUCAUUCUGUUUUUCCCAAUGCAACUACUUUUCUUGUUACUAUUUAAUGACAAGAAAGCCUUUAAGCUUGGAGGGAUCGAGAAUUACUCUUAGACAAGAUAACGGCAUGCAGAAGAGGGUAGUUGGGGUGUCUUAAAUGUGGCUCAAAAUUGUGAUAUUGAGAUUGGAUUGCAUGGCCCUUUCAUCCAAUAGUAUACUCCCUUCGUCUCACACUCUUAUUUUUUUUUUUUUAUAAAUAAUUGUCACUUUAGAAUAUCAAUACAACAUUUAGUAAAUAAUAUUAAUUUUACCAUUGAAAUCAACACAACUAAUCAUUUUUUUAAUAAUUGUGCACAAACCUUAAAAGACUUAUAAUUUAGAGACGGAGGGAGUACUAUUUACACAGUGAUAUUUGAACAACUGUUUGAUACAACUUUUGUGAUAAUUUUUUUUUUUUUCUUUUAAUUGGUUAAAAGCAAUAGAGAGAAAAAUGAAGAGAGAGAAUAAAAAUAUAAUGUGAGUAUGAGAGAUAAAGUUGUCACAAAAUGGUUGUACAAAUAUCAUUUCUCUUAAUCAAGUUGAUGUAAUAACUUUUUUUUUAAGAUUUGAAUCUCGUAUCUUGUAUAUAUUAUGCAUUGUCUCUACAAAAUGAGUUAAAUUCAUAAGGAGGACACUUGAAUUAACUUACUCAAUAGGAAAGUUUUAGUUUUAGUUUUAAGGAAAAUAAGUGAGUCAAUUAUAAAAAUAUCUAGUUGGAAUACAUGCAUUGAACUAAAGUUCUUUCGAACGAUCAAUAAAUUAGAUUUAUAUAUGCUAAAUUCUUAACACAUACUCCCUCCGGUUCUUAUUAUAAGAAAUAAUUGAAUUUUUUAGUUCAUUAUGUAAGUGAUGUAUCUAGUCUAUAUUUACAAUAAGAUACAUUAAUUAUUCUAUAAACUUAAAAAGUUAAUUUUUUCUUAUAACAAGGAUCGCAGGGAUAAUUAAGAAACAAUACCAAGUCUAUACAUAUUUAUCCUUAAUUCAUUUUUUGUGAUAUAUACCCUUAAAGUUCACUAAGAGGAGUGGGCCAGAUUAUGAUAUUGUCAAUUCUCAAAAUCUUGAGUGAGUAAUGGUGCGUUUGAAGCUAUGAAAACUUCAUCAAUGAAGUGGGUCAACAACAGUCCUUUAGUGGCCCCAAACUUGAUGAGUACUGGGGGUCACAUAUACGCAUGGUUGAUUGAUUUUUAGAAUAAAUUAUUCAUAUAACCUUAAGGUUAUGAUUUAUUGAGAAAGAAAAGGAUCCAUGUAUAGAUUACAAAUUGAUUGCAAUCGAAGUCAUUAAAAUUAGGAUCAUGGACUACACACAUUUUAAUGCUUUGAUCAAUUAAUCGCAUAUAGUACUUCUUCCAUAAAUGAGUUGUACAAGCACUUCUUCCAUCUAUCCAAUAUUUUUUUUUUGGUGAAUGUUAACCAAUGCGCUAAGGAUAAUGGUUAAGCAUUCAAAAACAAGUAAGUUUUCAUGAAAAACUUGUGUAAUCAUUACUUUAUCAAAAGUAACAUCUUAUAUUUUCAAUAUAAAAUUUUAAUUUGUAGAUUCCUUAACAAUUUCCUUGAUGACACUGGUUAACAAGACCCUAUUUUUUUUAACCAAAACUUUACCUUCAUCAUCUUUAAUACAUUUCACUUAUCUAAGUCUCGUGUCUUUCUUUCUGUUUCAUAGCAAGCCCAUCAAAAACUUAAGGGCCUAAUGAUCGGGUAUAACCCAUAAAAAACUCGAGUUCUUGCGUCAAUCACCUAAUGCUGUCAAAAUGAGUUCGUUCGUAGGGGCCAGUUUGCCAAGCCGGUAAAUUCUCUACCUAUUCAGGCUAGCAGGUAUGGGGCACGGGGUAGCCCAUUUAUCCUGCAUAACGAAAAACAUUCUAAAAAUUACAUAUAUUUUUAAAUAAUUCUUUAGGAUGUGACUUAUAAAAUUAGGAAAUAAAAGUGAAAAAUUCAAUGAAACAACACACAAAAAUGAAAGUAAUAAAAAAAAUUGUAAAUGCUUAAAAUUUCAAUGGCCAAACGAACAUAUACUUAUAGUUAGAAAAAGCAUUUUAAUGUAUUUAAAAUUGUUUUCCUUUCCGUUCUACUUUGUAACGUUUGAACGACAAAAGUUUAUAAUUUUUGUGGGUACUAAGCAGUGUUUAGACCUAUUAAAAAUAAUAUUUAUAAUAAAUUUUGUAACUAUUUUAAGUAUUUUUUUAAGGGUUGGCUUGUUUAGAACCUGCAUGUUAAUAGGGUUUUUUGGGGCUUAAUACACCAUUUAGUCCCUUAAUUUAAUUCUUUUUUUUAAAAUGGUCCCUUAACUAAAAAAACGUUUCAAUUUGGUCUCUUAUGUUUUCUGUCGUUACCUCUUUUGGUCCUCUCCGUUAGUUUUUAACACCAAAUGUCUAAAGUGAACCAUAUUUAAAGGUGGUCCAUCAUGGACCUUAUUAAUUUUUUUUUUUAAUUUUAACCUUUUGAUUUUUUCUUUAAAAGAUAAUUGUUGGAUCAUGUAGGGUCUAUUGUAUUUUAGUGUGAACCACUAACACCUAAUAUUUUUUAGAUUUUUCUUCCUCUUCUUCUCUCAUCUUCAUCAAUCUUCCAUUAAUCCAAAAAGAAAGAAAGAAAUAAACUUGGACACCCAAAAUCAUCAUCAUCUUUGUUCUUAUUCAUUCAUUCUUCAUCAUCAAAACUCAUUGUUUGUUCCUCAACACCAACAACAACAACCUAGAAUCAUCAUCUUAAUUCUCAUUCUUAUUCAUUUAUUCUUCAAGAAUCCAGUUUCAACCCCUUUUUAAAUUCCUUAUCAUGAAUUAAAAUAAAAUCUCCAAAUUCUCUCAUCAUCAUCAACACAUCAUGAAUUAAAAAAAAAUAAAAAUGAAUUUCAACCCUUUUUAAGUUCCUCAUUUUUCUGUGUGUGGAGGUUCAUUCCAUUAUUUGUUAUAUUAUUGUCAUGAUUUUCUUUUUUCUUCUUUUCAACUAACAAUUUUCGAAAACUGUUUCCAAAUUUCAUGUGGAAGAAAUGCAUGACAUCAACAUUAUUGAAUGGUGCAAGAAAAGAAAAUUACAAGGUUUUCAGUUAGAUAUGCUUAGACCAAAACAUAAAUAUCGGGUUGAGAGUUUCUCUUUAGAAGAUACAUCAAUAUCUGAUGGAAGUCCAUUUUUUUGAAGUGUGAACAACCACACGGUUAAUAGCAGAAUGGACGUUGAUACAAGUCUCGUCUUCGAUUUUCUGCUUCUGUUCAGUUUUCGAUUUCGUUUUUCAGGUCUGAUUUAUCUUCGAUUUAUGAUUGGGUUGUAUAUGCUUUCGUUUGUGUUCAGUUUAUGGGGUGUUGGAUUUUUGUUCUUGAGCAUGAUGUUGACAAAGGGGGAAGAAGAUGAAGAAAAAGAAGAAAAAUUAGGUGUUUAUGGUGAUUUAUUUGUAUUAAUUGUGUGUUGUUGGUUGUUGUAAGGAGGAAGAAAUUGAAAUGGGUUUGAAGUUUGAUAACUAGAGGAAGAACUUGGAAGGAGAAGAAGAAUAGGAAGACCAAAUUGGAUACAGGUGGUCCACUAUAACAUACUAUGGAUCUGCAAUCGAACGGUUAUAAUCAUAUUACAAAUAUUAAGAAUCAAAAAACUAACUGUGAGGACCAAAAUACAUAACGGUAAAAUACAUAAGAAACCAAUUUGAGACGUUUUUUAGUUAGGAGACGAAAAUGAAAUCCAAAAAUAAGUUAAGGGACCAAAGCAUGUAUUAAGCCGGCUUUUUGGCUAGAUCCAAUGAAGUCUGAUAGGGUUGGCAUAAACUAGCCAGGUGGCCUGUUUUUAUAACUCUACGUUCAUUGCCUUCUUCGUCUCUUUCUUAGAUCUCAUAUAUUUUUUCCAAAUUUAGGAAUUUUUAUACAUAGACCGAUCUUUAAAAUAUUUCAUUUUGAUUAUAACUUUACUCUUAACACUUUUGUUCAUUCACCAAGAUUUUUUAACCGUAGGUCAAAAACCUCUUAAUUCUUUCCAUCAUCUCUUAUACUCCUUUUCUAAUCUCAUUGUCAUCUUAUCUCACAUAUCAUUUUAUCUCCAUUGCUUUCUGAAUCCUCCCUCUAAGAUCUUGUGCUAGAAAGUCCUUUGUUUUUCACCCUUCAAAUUUCACGACUUGAUCUGUUGAGCCAUAUAGUGGUUUAUUCUCUUUGCUCUGCUCUUAACCCUUACAUGCAUCCAUAGCUAAUGCUUUAUGUUGGAUAAUCAAUUCUUCUCAAGGUACGACAUUACAAUCCAAAAAAAAAAUAUAAUUGUAUGAUUUUUUAAUAAGAAAAAAAAUCUAUUUGAGGACAUUUCAUCCCACUGUUCAGUGUCAUAAAAUACUAAUUUGUUUUCCUAAUAGUAAGAUCGAAAGCCAUCAAAAAGUUUAAGAUGAAUUUAUCCUCUACAUUUUUCUCGUUUAGGUAUACUCCUCAUGCAAGCCCUCAAAACCUCUCGAUACACUCCUGGCCUACAUGCCCAUUUAGAUCAUCUCGUAGAAAAAUAUUUUAUCCUAGUUGUAUAUUCUGAAUUAAACCUUCUAAAUUCAACCAAAACUUUACUUUAAGUUGUUCUUCCAUCCCUAUCUGAGGUUUGUAAGUACUAAUAACAUUAAAGGUGUCUUGUUUCACUGAAAAUUUUAGGGUUAUGAUGCAAUUGCAUAUCCUUUUUACAUCCACAAUUAAUAUCCUUCUUCUACAUGUUAUCUAUAAUAAUGUCUACCCCAUUUCUCGAUAUAACUUUGCUAGUGUUUCGAAUCUUAAAUCUUGAAUUGUCUGAUUCUUUCUCCUUUUCACCUACCUACUUAGUUUCUUGUAGACACAUAAAAUUAAUUCUCCUCUUAGUCAUAAUUGUAACGCCCUAGUUAUUUAUUUAAUUAUUUUAUUAUGUGGAGUAUAUAUAUAUAUAUUAUUAUAUAUGAUGUAGGUGAUUUAUGUGGAGUAUAUGCAUGUAUUUGUGUAUAUGUGAUUUUUGGAUGUUCUAUGUGAUGUAUUAUUUUAAUAUAUGGUUUAUUAUAUAAUAAUUAGAUUAAGUGUGAAAUAAUGAUUAUUUUGGAGUUUGGGAAAUAAUAGUAAUUAAUAGAAUUUAUGGGGAGUUAAGUGUAAAUAGAAGGGAGUUACAUUUUAGUGGGAAGUUAAUACAGAGAAGUGAGAAACCAGUUUCACGUAGAANNNNNNNNNNNNNNNNNNNNNNNNNNNNNNNNNNNNNNNNNNNNNNNNNNNNNNNNNNNNNNNNNNNNNNNNNNNNNNNNNNNNNNNNNNNNNNNNNNNNNNNNNNNNNNNNNNNNNNNNNNNNNNNNNNNNNNNNNNNNNNNNNNNNNNNNNNNNNNNNNNNNNNNNNNNNNNNNNNNNNNNNNNNNNNNNNNNNNNNNNNNNNNNNNNNNNNNNNNNNNNNNNNNNNNNNNNNNNNNNNNNNNNNNNNNNNNNNNNNNNNNNNNNNNNNNNNNNNNNNNNNNNNNNNNNNNNNNNNNNNNNNNNNNNNNNNNNNNNNNNNNNNNNNNNNNNNNNNNNNNNNNNNNNNNNNNNNNNNNNNNNNNNNNNNNNNNNNNNNNNNNNNNNNNNNNNNNNNNNNNNNNNNNNNNNNNNNNNNNNNNNNNNNNNNNNNNNNNNNNNNNNNNNNNNNNNNNNNNNNNNNNNNNNNNNNNNNNNNNNNNNNNNNNNNNNNNNNNNNNNNNNNNNNNNNNNNNNNNNNNNNNNNNNNNNNNNNNNNNNNNNNNNNNNNNNNNNNNNNNNNNNNNNNNNNNNNNNNNNNNNNNNNNNNNNNNNNNNNNNNNNNNNNNNNNNNNNNNNNNNNNNNNNNNNNNNNNNNNNNNNNNNNNNNNNNNNNNNNNNNNNNNNNNNNNNNNNNNNNNNNNNNNNNNNNNNNNNNNNNNNNNNNNNNNNNNNNNNNNNNNNNNNNNNNNNNNNNNNNNNNNNNNNNNNNNNNNNNNNNNNNNNNNNNNNNNNNNNNNNNNNNNNNNNNNNNNNNNNNNNNNNNNNNNNNNNNNNNNNNNNNNNNNNNNNNNNNNNNNNNNNNNNNNNNNNNNNNNNNNNNNNNNNNNNNNNNNNNNNNNNNNNNNNNNNNNNNNNNNNNNNNNNNNNNNNNNNNNNNNNNNNNNNNNNNNNNNNNNNNNNNNNNNNNNNNNNNNNNNNNNNNNNNNNNNNNNNNNNNNNNNNNNNNNNNNNNNNNNNNNNNNNNNNNNNNNNNNNNNNNNNNNNNNNNNNNNNNNNNNNNNNNNNNNNNNNNNNNNNNNNNNNNNNNNNNNNNNNNNNNNNNNNNNNNNNNNNNNNNNNNNNNNNNNNNNNNNNNNNNNNNNNNNNNNNNNNNNNNNNNNNNNNNNNNNNNNNNNNNNNNNNNNNNNNNNNNNNNNNNNNNNNNNNNNNNNNNNNNNNNNNNNNNNNNNNNNNNNNNNNNNNNNNNNNNNNNNNNNNNNNNNNNNNNNNNNNNNNNNNNNNNNNNNNNNNNNNNNNNNNNNNNNNNNNNNNNNNNNNNNNNNNNNNNNNNNNNNNNNNNNNNNNNNNNNNNNNNNNNNNNNNNNNNNNNNNNNNNNNNNNNNNNNNNNNNNNNNNNNNNNNNNNNNNNNNNNNNNNNNNNNNNNNNNNNNNNNNNNNNNNNNNNNNNNNNNNNNNNNNNNNNNNNNNNNNNNNNNNNNNNNNNNNNNNNNNNNNNNNNNNNNNNNNNNNNNNNNNNNNNNNNNNNNNNNNNNNNNNNNNNNNNNNNNNNNNNNNNNNNNNNNNNNNNNNAUAUAUAUAUAUAUAUAUAUAUAUAUAUAUAUAUAUAUAUUAUACUCAAUGUGAUUAUGGUGUGUUGUUGAUGUUGUCAAUGCUUGUGGCUUAUACCUAUAUAUGUUUACAAGAUAACGUGUUGUUGUUUAGGGUGUUAGAUUCAUUUGAUGAUUUUAAUAUCUAUAUUUAUUGUUGUGAAUCUCACCCCUUCUGCUUGAAAAUGUUGCCCUUCCUAUGGGUAACUUGCAGGUGAUCCUGAGUAGUAGGUGGUGGCUCAUUGUCGUGUCUAGGGCUCUGAUACGUGGGAUGGGAACAUUCAUAUUAUUUUAUUGUUGUUUUCCUCCUAUGUAUCAAUUUUUGGAACUUGUUGAUGUGGCCCUUUCAUUGGCUAACUUAUUGUUGUUUAGGCUUAAUGCCAAGAUGUUGUUGGAGAUUAAAACAUUGUGGUUAUUAUUGAAAUGCAAACUUUCCGCUGCAUAAAUAUUGAAGUUAUGAAUGAUGUUGACUUAAAUAGUUUUAUUUUCUAUUUAAGAAUUUUGAAUUUGCAAUGUAGCAUGCCCGUAUGUGGAAUUACUCUGAUGUUUAUAUGUUAUUUUAUUGCUUUGGGAACGGGGU